CAACCAAAGUACUCCACUGUCAUCACAACCAUGUCCUUACCUGCAGAGUUUUUGGAAUUAUCCAAAGUUCAUUGUUUAACAUUCAUUGACAGAUCACUCUCGUUCAGGAUACUGUACAGAGCAAGUUUAUGCAAGCUGAACCCCAGCCUUGUUAAUCUAGGGAGAGAAUGGGAAGGCGAUCAAAUUCAGGAGGCUGGAAAAGCUAGGCUUGUUUUCCAUCAGAAAACUGCACUGAGGUGGUCAGAUGUAGUGUGGAUCAGUGUCAUAAAGCCUUUAUUGUUUAUCUAAGUGUCUGGGUUUUUUAAUUUUUUCCACUUGGCUGCUAUGCUCUGAUGUUAUUAUUCUCAUGUAAUUGAGUUUAUGAGUUGAGUAACUUUUGGAAUACUGGUAACUACACUCUCUCACCGGAGAUUCAUCACACUUGAGGCAUUUUAAUAUAACUCUUUCACUAGUACCUGGGAGCCCUGGUAAUGCAGUGUUUAAGAGCUCGGUGGCUAACCAAAAGGUCAGCGGUUUGAAUCCACCACUUGCUCCUUGGAAACCUGAAAUUUUCAUUUGAAUUCUAGAAAUUUAAUGUAAUAAGUAUAUUUCCACUUUUAAAUUUCUUUUUCUUGCCUGAGCCAUUAUGCAUUUUCACAGAGCAAAUAUUUAAUCCUUAGGGUUUCGUAACCAGGGGAUUUAAAGAUUAGCUUUGAAAAUAGGUCAGGAGAAAACAUCUGCUUUGGUUAAAAGCUAAUCAGGUAAGGAAACAAGAAAAGCAAUUUAGAAGCUUUUGAAAAGCAUCCAUGAAACCAAUUUUAUGUAAAGUUUGAAAGCUGUUGUCUGUGCAGCUGAUGCAGAUGAGUCAGAUUUUCCUUGAGUUUUGACACUCAUUCAUUCACCCAGUCAUUAUUAUUCAUCCAUUCAUUCACCAGAUGUUGCUGUGGACACUGGGUAGCAGAGAGAAUUCAGAUAGUCAGUGCUCCCUGUGUACCAGGCCUGUGCCAGGGGCUAGUCAGUGCUCCCUGUGUACCAGGCCUGUGCCAGGGGCUAGUCAGUGCUUCCUGUGUACCAGGCCUGUGCCAGGGGCUAGUCAGUGCCCACUGUGUACCAGGCCUGUGCCAGGGGCUGUAAAAGUUGGCACUCAGUGCUUAUAGCUCCAUAGCAUGGUGUCGUGGGGAGUCCUCAAGAGCCACUGAGUGUGUGGCUUCAGGUGAGACCCUCUCCAUUUCCUUACCUCUGAAACGGUAAUUAUGUUUGCUUCAUGGCUUUGAUGUAAGAAUCAAAUGUAGUAGUGGUUUUGAUAGAGCUUUGAAAAGUAUCAGGUGUAUUAUAUAAAGACAAGUAGUGAUUGGCUUACUGUUAGUGAUUUUGACCAUUUCUUUGACCAUUGCUUCCGUGAAAAGGAUUGGAGAUGAGUGUGUUUUUAUUGUUCUCUUGAGCUAGAGCUGUAUGUUUACGAUAGUCAGACUUACUGUUUCCUUCUCGUGUGUAACAACCCCACUUCCUGUCCAUGGGACAGGGAGUUGAGGUAGCUGGGAAAAUGAUAACUAAAAAAAAAAAAAGCUACAGCUGUUAAAACUCAUUAAGGUAAUACUAUUUAACUCAUUAUUAAAUCGACAAGCAUUGAUUAAGUACCCAGACUAAGGGGCAGAGAGAGGGCUGAGAUAUCAGAUGGCACCUAUCUUCAGGAAGCCUAGACUUGACUUUGAAAAUUCAAAGUGGCCAAAUAUGAAUCAUUACCUUUGCUGCAGUUUCUCGAGGAUCUGCAAGAAGGUGACCAUCAGGCUUUCCAACAUUUCUGCGGGCCCUCUCUUAGACUUUGAAAUGCCCAGUUAUACCUGUUGGAUUAUGCUUCUUAUGAGGAAACUAAAAAAAUAUUUCUAGCUUCGUGUUUGAUUUACUGCUAGGUUCGAGGUCAACCAUAUUGAAGUUCUAGAAUAAGGUAAGAGAUCCAGCUUGCCCUAGAGCAAACUCAAUCCUGGGCUAACUCAAGGAUCUUUCUCAAAUACCAGCUCUAGAGUAGACAGAUUUCUGUGUUUUACUAACUACUGACUCUCCAGUGCCCAGACAGUGCCUCUCUACCACUAAAAAUGUUUUGAAUGAUGAAAGCUGCAGCCUACCACUCAGAUUGACGGCUUUUGGGAGAAGGGCCUGUUCUUUACCCCUCCCUGAGUUUCCAGUGUCUGGUACAUAACUGGCACUCUGGAUGCUUGUUGAAUGGACACAUGCACAAGUGGAGCUCAGUGGACGCCCCACCCAGGACUUCCCAAGCUCUGCUCAGAAUUUCCUACUUCAUAUGUUCUUUUCAAAAGAUAAUCCUCAAAAGGUCAAAGUGUAUUCCAAGAAGAUACCUGUGUGUUUCGCCUGCAGAGUCCCAUCUUGUCUGUCACGCUCCAGUGGCACUGCUUACCCCGUCCCUGCAGUAUAGCCCAGGACAGGGAAGGCCAUGCUUGAAGACAUCCGCAACCAUGUAGGAGACCAAAAGGCCCAGAGAGAAUGGGCCUGGUGUAGGAGAGAAAGGAGGACAAUUUGCAAAGUUAUUUUCUGGGAGUUUACUAUGUUGUCUUCCAGCCUUUGAUGACUCUUUCAGCUCUUUAUAAAACAAUUGUUGUCGUUGUAGUUGCCCUCAAGUUGAUUCGAACUCAUGGCGACGCUAUGUGUGCACAGUCAACUACUGCACAGAAUUUUCAAGGCUGUGGCCUUUCAGAAGCAGAUCACCAGGCCUGUCUUCUGAGGCACCUCUGGAUGGGUUCAAACCACCAACCUUUGGAUAGUAUUGGAGCUCUUAACUGUAUGUGCCACCCAGGACUCCUUUAUAAAAUAAAAUAACACUAAAAAAAAAAUCUGUGGCACUUUACCUUUUCCAGUACCUUUUCACAUGCAAAUAUCUCUUUUGCUCUUCAACCCUGUGGAAGUGGUGUUUGUUUUCAUUGGUACUGUUUGUACAGAUGAGAAAUAUCAGGCUGGGAGGAGGGCCCAGUCCAGGAUGAAGUACGUGAGGCACUCGCCUCAGGCGCAGAAUUUAAAGGCAUGCCAAAAACUCAGUAAUCAAGACAAGUGAUAUUUUAUGCAGUAUUUUAAAAAAUCAAAAUUUGUGCAGGAUCCGACAAGGCCAGGAUUAAGGGGAGGUGAGUCAUGGUGAUCCCAGGGUCGGUUCCUAUCUUUGUUUGUUGUUGUUAGGUGCCAUUGAUUCAUUGUGACUCAUAGGGACCCUGUAGGACAGAGUACAGCUGCCCAAUAGGGUUUCCAAGGAGCAGCUGGUGGAUUCGAACUGCCAACCUUUUGGUUAGCAGCCGAGCUCUUAACCACUGCACCACCAGGGCUUUUAUCUUUAUUUAGAAGUUGGAUUCAUUGUGGAUAGUUUGCAUUAAUUUUGAUUUUUUAAAUAUUAUAUUGAAGUAUCAUUUAUCUUGAUUACUGGAUUUUUGGCACCCUCUUAGAUUUUGCUCUUGAGGUGAGUGUCCCGCUCAGCGCACCCUAGUCAAGCUCUGCCUGAGAGAUUAAGUGCCCAAGAUCAUAUGGCUUGUAAGUAGCAAAGUCUCCAUUUGAACCAAGGUGUUCUGACUCCAAAUCAUGUACUCUUUCCAUUACACCACACAGCCACCCGAGAUGCCUCAUCUGCUUUGUCUCGGAACAUCUGUUGGUCUGUUGUUCUUUAAAAUUUCUUCAGCUUAUAAGCUCUACUAUCUGAGAGUGUCUUUGUACUCCCCGUUGGCCUUUCCAUUGCCCCUCCUCCCCUUUUUUCCUGUAAAUACACCCUCUGUUGUUUUAAAUUAUUUGAUUUGUAAGCAUUUCUAGAUGAAUCUUAUCUCAAGGACACAGUAUAGAAUAGUUGCCGUGCCUAAAGCCAUAUUCUGUGACUCAAAUUAAAAACAAAUGAAUAUAGCUCCUGCUACUGGGGGUGGGUGGGAUUUGUUCUUCAAACACCAUCAAAUUGUAGGCUGAAAUAGUGGCUAGAAUAGCAACUAGGAGUUCAGUGUGUCUUACAAAGUCAGAAGCCCAGCAGACUUUGAGUAAUUCUGGAAUAAUGAAAUAGUUCAUGAUAACAGGGAUGAGUAGAGUUAACACUGCAGAGGGGGAGGUUGCAUAGACUAUAAACCAAAAAACCCAAACCUGUUGCCAUCGAGUCAAUUCCAACUCAUAGUGACCCUGUAAGACAGAGUAGAAUUGCCCUAUAGUGUUGCCAAGGAGCUGCUGGUGGAUUCAAACUGCCAGCCUUUUAGUUAUCAGUUGAGCUCUUAACCACUGUGCCACCAGGGCUCCACAUAGGAUUAUAAAAAAAAAAAAAAAAUUUUUUUUUUUGAGGUAUAAUUUAUCUCUUUUUAAUUUUAUCUUUUUUGUUAAGUUUUUUUUCAAAGAGUAGGUUUCCUUACACUUGGCUUUACUUCUUACUAAUUUUUAGUCAUCUGUGAGAAUUUUAGUUUCAGUACACUUGUUGGGGAUGAAUACAAAAAGGAAGUUUGGGAUUAGAAAUAGAAGGUAAAAUGAAAGAUCAGUAGCAGACUUGUUUUUCUUUACAAAUUAAUUUUUAGAGGUAAAGAAAGGGUCCCUGGAUGGUGCAAAUGGUUAACACACUCAGCUGGUAACCAAAAGGUUGGAGAUUUGAGUCCACCCAGAGGUGCCUCAGAAGAAAGGCCUUGCAAUCUACCUCUGAAAAAUCUGCCUUUGAAAAUCCUGUGGAACAUGGAGUCGUCAUGAGUCAGAGUUGACUGAACGGCAACUGUUAGAGGUAAAGGAAGUUGAAGGGCGAGGAAACCCAGACCUUGGAAUUAUAUUGCAGUGCCUGUUGACAAGGAGGAAGGAGAGAUGUUAAGAAUUACUGUAACCCUGGAAAUAUCAUAGAAUAAAAACUCUGACUCAUAAAUAAAGGCAUUAAACAUUUAGGUUAAGGACCAAACACAGAGGGAGGAAAAGAUCCCUUUCCUAAGCAUAUGCUUUUUUCUGUUUGUUCAGUGAGUAUAAAUCUGUAGAAAGGUGUUUGUUCAUAUGGUGUUUUCUUAAUUUUAAUAAUACUGUAUUGUGUUUUAGGUGAAAGUUUACACAACAAAUUAGGUUCCUGUUUAACAGUUUUUAUACAAAUUGUUCUGUGCCAUUGGUUACAAUUUUUGCAAUGUGUCAGCAUUCUCAUUUCCAUUCUGUUUGUUCUGUUUCCAUUGAUCUAGCUGCCCUUCUCCACCUUGCCUUCUCAUUUUUGCUUUUGGGUAAAUGUUGACUGUUUGGUCUCAUAUAGUUAAUUGUUUAAGGGAGCACAUUACUUAUGGGUGAUAAUUGUUUAUUUUAUAAGCCAAUCUAUUAUUUGGCUGAAAAGUGACCUACAGAAAUAGCUUUAAAUCCAGGUUCAAAGGCUAUCUUAGGGUGGUAGUCUUGGGGGUUGCUCUAGUCUCUAUCGAUCCAGUAGGUCUGGCUUUUUUUAGGAAUUUGAGUUUUGUUCUACAUUUUUCUCCCAUUCUGUCUGGGACCUUCCGUUGUGUCCCUGGUCAGAACACCCGGGAAUGGUAGCUGGGCACCAUCUAGUUCUUUUGGUCUCAGGUUAGAGGAGGCUAUGAUUUGUGUGGGCAAUUAGUCCUGUGGACUAGUUCCUUCUUUGACUCUUUGAUUUCCCUCAUUCUCUUUUGCUCCAUAUGAGUAGAGGCCAGUAGUUAUAUCUUAGAUGGUCAUACGGUAUUUUUAUGGGAGAUUGUAGGACGUAAGACUAGAAGGUAAGGACCAAACUGCCAAGGGAGUUGAGAGCUAAGCUAAGAAUUCAGUAUUUUAUCUUAUAGGUCAUAUUGAACCAAAAAGAAGACUUUCAAGUGGGAGGUGGACUAAUCAAGCUAAUACUUCCAAAAGUUUUAUCUGGUGGCAUUAUGACAGAAAGAGAAGAAAUGAGCCAGGGAGAAUAUGUAUUUUUGUGUUAAUACAAUAAAUAUUUAUUGAACAACCAAUAUUUGGAUGAUAAAAUUAAAAAUAAAAUGAAAGGGAAGGACAGCUGUGAGAUAUGUUGCAGAGGCAAUUGGCAUUAGCCACUGGGACUUAUACUGGUUGUUAGGAGGAGGAAGAGAUUUAAAAAAAAGAAGGACCCCAAGGUUUUAUCUUGCGUGUCCUAGAGAAUGGUCAGUCCAUUAGCUAAAAACAUGCAAAAGGAACUGUUUGGGAAGUGAAGGGAAAAGAUCUUAUCUUCUAUUUCAAACAGAUUUUUCUUUGAAGCAAUGAUGUGAUGCACAAUUAAAAUAUCUAUUAGAUUGUUGGGGAUGCUAACCUGGAAUGUGGGAGAAAGUUCAGGGCUAAAAGUGAAUUAUCUAGAAGUCACACAUUCAGAUUUAAUAGUUGACGUUUGAGCAGGAACAACAGAAAGGGCUAAGGUAGACACACAUCCUCUGGCUGGCAAGAGGAAGAAAUGUCAUAGGAAGAAUGUUCUGAGAUGGAGAAGAAGCAGGAUCACAGAGUAGUGCAGAAGCUGGGGGAGGAAGUAAUUUCAGGAAGGAUGGUGUGGUCAGCAGAGCCAGGGCCUGCGGAUCGAGGCUAAUGAGUAAUCACCGGAGUAGUCUUGAGCUUAGAAAAUAAAAAUCAAGAUCCAGGAAGAGGAAGAAUGUCAAAAAGUGGGAAGCUGGAAGAAGAGGUAGUUCUAUUGGAUUGCAGGAACUUCAAGUGAUGUUAACUUGAUAAAAAAAUUUUUCCUGGAUGACUAGUAGACAUUUAUCUCUCUUGUGCUUUAUCAAUUUCAAAGACUUUUUUAAAACUAUUGGGGGAAAGAUCAUGUCGUAUUUUUUAUGUAUUACUUUUCAAGUGUCAUAAUUAUUUUUUUCCACAUGAUAUGCACUUCUAAUGCAUGGUUAACUUCUCUCAUUAUCCCAAAAUAGAUUAAGAUAUAUUUGGCCCUUUUAGUUGGAGUCAGAGAACUUUGGUCCAUAUAUGGUUGAUUUAGUGAUACAUGUCCGGUGGCAUUCCAGAGCAAGGAUCUAAAAUGCUGUUUUACUUUCUGUCUGUGUCUAUGGAGCAAACAAAACCAUACCACUUUAAAAUGGGACUCCGCCAUAUUCCACUCCUUGCUUGAUUAAUUUCCGCUGUCUGUCAUAACUUGAUGAAGAGAAGCGUUUUACAGCAAGGGUUCUGAUAGAUGUGAACAUUCAAUGAUCACAGCUUUCUACAAAAGCAUUAAGAUUCUUGUUUUACGCGUCGAGUGUUUGCUUCUUGGCAGUAGUUCAUGGAAUCUGACUAAAUCUAAAACCUUGAAAGACGAGCUUGAAUCAUUUAGGUCUGUAUUGCAAAGGUUAACUUAGUGUACUUGAUUCUUAGUAACAAGCGUCCUGUAUCAGACAUCGUCAUCACCAUCUGUAGUUAAAAACGUCAAUCAGUUCAUUGCUCAAGAACCUUUUACAAAACUGGGAUUGUAACAAGACCAUAACUGGUUGGCUUGUCCUCUGGAUCACUGGGUGGAGCAAAAGGUUAACAUGCUCGCCUGCUCACCAAAAGUUUGGAGGUUCGAGUCCACCCAGAGGCACCUCAGAAGAAAGGCCCGGUGAUCUACUUCUGAAAAAUCAGCCACUGAAAGCCCUAAGGAGCACAGUUCUCCUCUGACGCACGUGGGGUCACCGUGAGUUGGCGUUGACUUGACAGCAGUUGGUUUUUGUCUUCUGGAAGCCCUUGUUCAUUUGUUGGUUCACUCACUUAACAUUUGUUGAGUACAUGUAUACUUUAUGCCAAGGUGAAGUUAAGGAAAAUCACUGCCUGUAGUGUUCUUCAAGACUAGUAUCUUUACAGUAAGUACAGAGAAUUGCAAUGCAGUAUAGUAAAUGCUGUAGUAGCAGUAAGCAUAGGGGGCUAUAGGAAGAAAGAGUGACUGGAGUGUGAUAAAGAGAGAGGUGAAAAUGAAGUUGGAGAUAGUGUACAGCAUACAAGAUGCAGGAGACAGUUUAUGAAAAUCCUUAUAUGACUUGCUGAAGAAUCUAAAUUUUAUUCUGAAGCCAGUGACCUACAGUGAAUUAUUUUAAAUAGACAGGACAUGGUCAGCAUUGUGUUACAUGUCAGAUGUUGUUGUUGUUAGGUGCUGUCGAGUCAUUUUCUACUCAUAGCAACUCCAUGUGACCAAGUAGAGCUGCCCCAUAGGGCUUCCUAGGCUGUAACCUUUAUGGAAGCAUAUCGCCAGGUCUUUCCCGCUCAGAGCAGAUGGUUGGGUUUAAACCUCUAACCUUUCGGUUAGCAGCUAGUGCUUAACCAUAUGUGUCAGCAGGGCCCCUUACAUUUUGGAUAGGGUGAAGAAUAUAUUUAAGGAGGAGUGGAAUCUGGAGGCAGGAAGGCCAGUUAAGAGACUAUUACAGUAACUGAGGUACGUAGAGGGUCUAAUUUAAGGUACUAAACCCGUUGCUGUCCAGUCGAUGCCGACUCACGGCCACCCUAAAGGACAGAGUAGAACUGCCCCAUAGGGUUUCCAAGGAGCAGCUGGUGAAUUCGAACUGCCAACCUUUUGGUUAGUAGCCGUAGCUUUUAACCACUAUGCCACCAGGGUUUCCAAUUUAAGGUACUAGCAAGGUGGAAAUAGAAAAGAGAAAUUGAAUUUGAGAGGUAUUGGGAGGUAGCGGUAACCAGUCGACUAGAAGCAGUGGGCGGGAAAGAGGGAAUAAAAGACAGGGUAGAGUCAGGGAUAAGUUUCUGGCUGAAAUACCUAGGCAACGGUGGUACGUCAGUCAGUGGUGUCAGCCUUUGGCCAUCUCUGACACGAGGUUGCAACAGCUGAAUCAUCAGAGGCUGGCUCAGUCCGUGACAUGAAUCCUACCUGGUCAUCUUUGAAACCAACAAUGAAAUGGCUUGUGGCCUCCUAAAACGGAGACCUUUGGAGUAGUGUUGAAUAGGCAUGAGUCAGGUUUCAUAGGUUGGAACUCUCAGACUUCGUCGGGAUUCUGGAGGACGCAUGCUUGCUGUUUUUGCGGUGGGAUACCCUUGUGGUGCUGGUUUUCAGACCUGCCGUUUAAUAACUCUGUGAUCGUAUGCUUUGCGUUUCACCCUAAUGAUUAUUAUACUUAGCACUUUGUAUCUUCAAAGAACUCAGCAGCAUUAAAUAAUUAAUCUGCAUAAUAUCGCUGUGAGUUAGUAGGUGGGGAUUAGUGCCCCAUUUUCCAGAUGAGAAAACCCAGAUGUACUCAGUGACUUGCCCAAGGCUAUACAGCCUCGCAUGGGCAGGACAGAAUUUUGAAUCUGCACUUUCCUUUAUCUUAUCACACUUGUACUAGAAGUUUAUUGUCAGUCUUAACUUAUUAUGCCAUGUUUGCCGUUUCACUUAUUCAUAAGUCUCAGCAUUUAGAUCUAGAAAAAGGUUAAGCGGAGUACAGGGAAGAGUGAAGGUGGCCAAAUGACUAAGCCCUGUGUGUGUGUGUGUCUGUGUGUGUGUCCAUGUGCGCGAGUAGACAUGUGCAUUUCUUGGGAAUAGUCAUUUUUAAACCAGAUCUCAACUCCUAGACCUCAUUUCAUCUAGCAGACCAGCCAGUCACAGUGUCAUGGAGUCUCCUGUGGCAUUCUAGUGUACCUUUAACAGUAUAUACGGAUAGCAGUAAAACAAUUGUUAUUGAAAUUGCCCUUUUUUUUCUCAUAAGGCAGCGUGGUGUGGUAGAAAGAGAACUGACUUUGGAGCUAGACAGACCUACCUUGAAAUUCCUCCCAAGAGAGAGCUGGGUGACAAGAGGCAGGAUGCUUAUCCUUCAGCUGUGUGUGAGGGUCAGAUGAUGAUGAUAUAUGUCAACUGCCUAGCAUGGAGCCAGCACCUAAUUAUUGCUCCAUAAAAGGUAGCUUCUAAUUUUAUCAAUACUGAAGGGGCCAUUGAUUUUGCUGUUGAACGACAAGAUCGGGUAAAUUCAACUUUUCAGGAAUUAUUGUCUCAUAAGGAAACCAGUGAAACACUUUGAUACUGAGUCAACCAGAUACUGGUAUCAUCCCUUAUUCACUGACAAAUAUGGGAAGGUAAUUUCAGUAGGUCAGUCAUCAGUGUGUGCCUUCCAAAACAUUAUAGUCAUGUUACAGUAAACUUUUUAUAUUGUUGCGUCACAAAGAUUUAUUGAAGUGAUAAAAGUUAUUAUGGAAAACAGUGUGCGGUAACCGUGGCAACAGUUAUUUGAUCUCACAGUAAUUAGCUAAGCAUGUACUUGCGCAACACUUUCACAAUGCCUUCCUGGUUAGUUCAUUACACAAAAUUAGCUUUUGUUUGAACGGCCUUCCUACAGUCUCCUAAACUUGUUUUUAGUUUAAAAGAAUUGGAAAGUGUGUUUUAAAACCACCUUUCCAACUUGCAGUUUAUGGACAUAUUUGAGGUUGCAACUGGUUUUUAUGUAACUCUUUAUUUGUACUACAGUAUGAUGAUGAUUCAUCGGAUUCAUCUAUGAAGUGUUGCUUUCGGUUUAGUAGAGUGGACUAAGACUUGGUCAGUAAAGUUGGACACCAGUUUCUUAAUUCUGACCCCCCUGUACCUGGCUCAAAUGGCAGAUUUUGUUCACUGUUCUUCCUGUUACUUAGUUUCUGUUCUUGUGAAAUGGUUGCUGUAUGAUAAGUGCUGGAGUCGUGAAAUCACACAGAAUGGUCAUUUCCUGGCAGUCUGUUUGUCACCUGAGGGACCUGGGGCUAGAAGAUGCCCAGGCUUUUCUGGAGCCUUCUCUUCCUCCUCUAGGUGCCUCUCUGCCCUGUUCAGCAUAACUGGUGCUGGGCUCCAUCCGGUACCUCUCUUUUUGCAAAGUGGAUUGUGUGACAGAUGAUUCACCUGAAUGAUGUCAUCCUCGGAGGACUUUCAGAGACCUUGGGGCAGUGGCCUCUCAAACUGCAUUCAGGAAAGACGAAUCUGCUCUACACCCCCUCCCCACUCACCCCCGAGAUGCAGGUGAGGCAUAACCUAUCCUGUUUGGAAGAUUGGAGAUUCCUAAGCACAAGGGAGGAAACCCUGGUGGUAUAGUGGUUAAGAACUCCAUCUGCUAACCAAAAGGUCGGCAGUUCGAAUCCACCAGGCACUCCUUGGAAACUGGGGCAGUUCUGUUCUGUCCUAUAGGGUCGCUAUGAGUUGGAAUUGACUUGACGGCAAUGGGUUUGGUUUGGUUUUUUGAAGCACAAUGGAAACCCUGGUGGUGUAGCGGUUAAGAGCUACAGCUGCUAACCAAAAGGUCAGCAGUUUGAGUCCACCAGGGGCUCCUUGGAAAUCCUGUGGGGCAGUUCUACUCUGUCCUAUAGGGUUUCUGUGAGUUGGAAUCCACAAUGGGAAGCACACCGGAAAGCUACAAGCAUUCAGGAUUUCAAAACAAAAAAAAAAUGCAAGGAAAAUAAUUUUAACUUAUUUGCUAAGAAUGAGGGGGUUCCAAAGAAAACUAGCAAAAAAGGAAUUUUAGGGGAAAAAAAUCAGUUUAAGUCCCUUGUAUUGAUUUCAUUUUAAUUCCUGUCAGCUCAACUCUGGUUUGGUUGUUGUUUUUUAUUUAAGUUCAAUUUAAUUUUUUUUAAUAAUACUAGCUUUUUUAAAAAUAAUACUAGCUUUUAAAAUCCAGUUGCUUUCUGAGAUUAUUUAAUCUCUUGAUUAAAUAGAUGUCAUCUGCCAGUUUUCAGUUAGGCAAAUCGUUUUGCAUGUGGGCUAUAACAAACAUUCCUGGUUCUCUGCAGGUCUACCUAAUUAGGUUGUUUUUUUUUUCUAUCCAGAAUAAAUAUAUCUUCAGUUUCACUGACCAUGAUUGGAAUUCUAAUGAUGAUAACCUAUUUGAUCUUGAUUGGUCUUGUUUGCUUGUUCUUUGACCAAUCUGAUGAUAAUAAAACUAAUAACAACAGAAUAAUAAGCUAUCUUAGGUGGCUUCAGUGCCUAACUCAUGCUGUUUUCUCAUCUCCCCCAUCCGUGCUUUCAUCCUGUUUGGCAUCUCAACUGAAAAGGCACCUACCUGAAGGCGUUAGUCAGCCAGAGCUCUACCUCCCGCUCCAGGGCCUCUGCCCUGCUGUAGAGCUCUGGGUCUCUGCCAAAGAAAUGAAGAGCAAAUGGAAGCUUGCAGAGGUCACUCAGCUAGUAAGUGAAAGAGCUUCCUGUCCUUCACAGACCUGCCCAAAUGCUGUCACUUCUGUAAAUUCUUGUGUUAUCCCCCCAACUGUGACCACUGCACCACACAACUCUGGGGGACCCCAUUCACGUGGGCUACAGUGUCAGUGGCACCCCCAGAGCUGUGAGACUCGGUAGCCUUGGUAACAUCUCCCUCAGUAUUCCUCACGGCAGUUACCGCGCUCUGCCCGACAACACGCUCCGCCUGACAGCCUGUGUGCAAGCCCUAUUUCCCCUGCUGGGUUUUGAGAUACUUGAGAGAGGGCAAGUGCUUUCUUCGUCUUUGUGUACCCUGUUGGACCUCACAAAAUGGUUGUUGAAUGACCGGCUGUCCUGUCUGCUAUUUUACAGUUUGAGGCCCUGUGACGUGGGUUCUAUCAACCGUCCUCUUUCUUGCCUAAGUUUCCUCCCUCUACGUUCACGCUGGCGUCUUUCCUGCCCAUUUUGGAGGAAACCACAUACCUCCUGAAAUUGCCUCUUUCUAGCUCCUGCAGUCAAGGUCAUGAUGUUCAUGAGGUACCGUGGAGUGGACACGAUGGCCCAAGGACCUUGAAAAUGUUGGAGAUCUUGAAAAAAAAUUAUUGGCUCCAAAAUGCAAAAAGAAAAGUAGAAUCAAAAAUACAUGUUUAAGCAAGCCAAUAUAAAAUAAAAUAUUUUGUCAUCUUAAGUGUUUAACAAUAAUUGCUGGGAAACCAUGCCAAGAAAACCCAAAACCAAACCUGUUGCCAUCGAGUCGAUUCCGACUCAUAGCGGCCCUGUAGGACAGAACAGAACUGGCCCACAGGGUUUCCAAGGAGCACCUAGUGGAUUCGAACUGCUGACCUUUUUGGUUAGCCGCUGAUCUCUUAACUACUGCACCACCAGGGCUGCAGAAAUUUAUAGAAAUCAUAACAAACUAUAAGUUAAAUGAGUAACUGAUACCCAAAUAAUUUCAGGAACAAAAAAUAUAAAAAUUCUUAAAAAUGAUUUGGCCGGGAGAUUAUUUUAGUAUGGGAUGUGGAUAUAAGUUUCAAUAUGCUUGAAACGAUGUUGAGGGAGGAGCCUCUAAAAAAUAAACAUACUUGGGAUCUUGAAAAAAACUUAUAUGGUCUGCAGUGCUGUGCACAUAGCCCAAGAAAUACUUGCUGGAUUUUAACUGGUAUUAAAAUCAGAUGAUUACAGUUAAAUGAUGCUUAAAAUUAAAAUAAUCACAGUUGCAUGAUGGUGGACCCUAGUGUUGUAGAAGGGAGGGUGCGUGAGUAUUUAAUUCAGUUUUAUUAUUUUAUUUUUUGGAUAAAAAGAAAAAAAGAGUGAAGGGAACUUCCCAGUCAGGAGGAACGAGUGCCACAUUUCUGCAGACAUGUCGUGCAAUCUUUGGGGCCCUCAGAUGGCUCCAGGUGGGCAUCCUGAGCCCUCUGUUCUGGCCCUCCACUUUGUUGGCCACCCUGUCUGGUUCCUUCAGAGCAUUGGAAGUUGGGGGUGGCACAGAAGCCCUCCGGGCAGAGUGCUGGAGCAGAUGAGGCAGAGGGAUGCAGUAGCCAGGUCCUGCCAACAGUCAGGGCACGAAGGCACGUGAGACGCUUUUACUGUUUGCUUCUGGAAGGCAGGCCGGAACUGACCUUUCACUUGCCCUUCGUACCGGGAUGACUCAAAGUGCUGAUCCAUUGUUUUCUGGACUAACUGUGUAGUGACCAUGUUGACAGUGUGGCAGGGCCAUUUCCUCUGCAGUGAGUACUGAGUAUUUGAAAGUUGACUUUUGGUAUGCUCUUGCGUUGGCUCGGUGGGGGUUUUCUAAUCUUUUGUUUCUUUUUCUUUUUGUUCUGUAAUAUAAAUUGCCGUUCCAAAAGCUGAUGUUUGCUUUAAGCUGUUCAGAAACUGCUAUAGACCUAAAUAGCUUUCAGUAAAAAAAAAAAAAAAAAAAUAGCUUUCAGUAGCUAUAUAUAAAGGAGCCCCAGUAGUGCAGUGGUUAAGCCCUCUGCUGCUAACUGAAAGGUUGGCAGUUGGAAUUCACCUAGGGACUCCUCAGAAGAAGAGACCUGGCAAUUUGCCCCUGUAAAUAUUACAGAUGAGAAAAUGCUAUGGGGCAGUUCUGCUCUGUCACAUGGGGUUACUAUGCGUUAGAAUCAACAGCAUUCAGCAACAGCAAAGCUAUAUAUAGUGUUAGUAUGCCAUUGCUGUAGAAGGUUCACACCUGAUGUAUCUCCUUAAUAACCAUAUCACGAGGAAUCAUCUCACAAUGAGAACCAGGAUAGAAUUGAAAUUGAGGCACAUUCAGCUGGAGGUUAGAGUCAUAGUUAAAGAAGUGAAAAUAUAAAGCAUAUUAAAUAUAUCUUGUAUUUGUAUAGUCAUGAUAGUACAUCUAUAACCACCCAUGGAGUUGGGUUUUUUUUUUUUCCUUUUUUUUAAUAUAUGGAUUCAUGUGAUCUACCAUCUCUAAAAGUUUAGAACUGUCAGUUAAAUUUAUAUAUACAUCUUUCAAAGGAAAUCAUCAAAAAGGACAUUCCACUCUUAUUACAAAGCUAUUUUAGGGGUAAAUAUUUUGAUGGAUGUGGUUCAGUGCACCUGGAAGCUGAGACAUGGCGGAGCCCGAGGCAGUUAGCACAGAUGGAGCCUGAGAUAUUUCAAGGGCUGUUUUUCCCCCCAUAUAUAUUGCAAAUGGCUGCAUUGUGGUAGCAUGAACACUAGUGUUCCCUAUGCCACUGUCAGAAAAGGAGCUUCCUUGUGAAGAAUGGUCUUUUUAACAACGGUAACAACCACACUAAGAUUUCUCUCGCAAAUAACUUUACGAUGCAGUAUGUUAUGAUAUGAACAUUUUAUUAAGUAGAAGUACUAGUGAGAAUCAAGUCAGUAACUGGUAUGAGUGAAGUCAGCAUAUAUUUGUACCAGGUACAAUGUAAGUGUUUAGGAUGAGGGGAUUUGCUGGUCAGAAGGCAGAAAGAUGUGUUAAAGUGGAAAGAUUGCUACUUUGAUUUUUCUUUCUUGAAGCUUAGAGUUGAACCACUAAGCCGACUUAAUCCUAACUUAUAAUUUAUUAAAAUAAUUAAGUACGUCUUUCAACGUUGUUGUUAAAAAAUAAGCAUACACAUUUAAAAGUUUGGCUGCUUUCCCUACUUGCCUGUCUUCUUGGUAGGCGGAUGGCUUGUUAAAUGACGUUUUAAGAUUAUAACUUUUUCGCUCCCUUUGAGCUAAAGUCCUAUCUUUCAUCAGCCUUAGAAGGUUUGUCUUAUGAAGAUGGUAUGUUACAUGACUUCCGUUCUUCCCUCAUCAUUAGAGAAAUGACUUAAUAUUCCCGGUGCAGUCAUUGCAUUCUUCGUAAGUGAGCAAGAAAUGGCUUGAACCAUAUAACAAUGAGCAUGUACUUUAUUUCUCAUUUUUCAUUUUCCUGUUGGAUAUAAGUUCCUCGAGGGCAAAAACUAUCUUUAUGGCCUCAUUUAGCAGUCGUUGAAUAAAUGCCGAAAGCCUCAUUGCUAAGAAAGCAACAGUUUCCUUUCACACCCCAAACGCUAUCAGCAAUCAAGUGGUAAAGAUGAUCUUUUGAAGAGCUCACCCAAGCUGUCUUUAUUAACACCACAAACGGGAACAUGGAUAAUGAAACCUGCAGCUGUCGAGUCGAUUCCAACUCAUAGCAUUCUCUACUCUCUCACUUUGCUAGAAGUUGGUCCAUUGUGGACUUAGUCUUGUGUUUCUAGAGAGAACUAGGCCCAAAUACUCCCUCAGAGAAAGCCUCCAUAAUUCAGCAAUUGAAUUUGGCUUUCUAAAAAGUGUUCCUAAACUGAUGAAAUGUCCUUUCAAAACAUUUACCUAAAAUGUCCCGUGACUGCAGCAUCUGCUAAGCCUAUUGUGUUCUUUCAUUAAACCAUUUUAUUGUGCUGUGUGCAGACUGCUCAUUUGAAGCCAUAAAGCUGAGCGGACUGCAGGCUUUCUAAUAAGCAGGAUUUUUUUUUUUUUUAACAAUGAGAGAAACUGCAUCAUACAUAAUAUUGAAACAAAAAAUUCCUUUUCAAAAAUGAUCCUGUUAACCCCAUUUAAAAAAAAAAGUCUCUGAAGCCCUGCUGAUGACAACACAGACUGAUGUUGAAUGAUGUUGAAUGUGUAACUCCUGCAGUGCUCUUGACCCCUCCUCCAUUUUGUAGGUGUCUGUCUGUAGAUUCUUUAUUUUAAGGUGCAGGCGUCAGUAGCAGUUCACCAACUAGUUGCGGAAAUAUUUUUAUUAUAAAAUCCAAACUUAGGUAAGGAAAAUCUGGUUAUAGAUCAGCAUCAUUCAUCUACUGUGUUUGGAUUAAGUAGGCAUGUUUAAUUUAGUGAUUUAAAACAAUCUCAAAUGCCUAUCUGGCUGGCUGCUGCCCUGCCAGCCCUGGGGCUUCCUGAAGAGGAGCCCAGCUGCAGAGACCACAGACUUUCAGGAAGAAAACCCUGCCCACCGCCCCAGAAGGGGUCAGUGAAUGCAUGUGUCGGCUUUCCGUUUGCCUGCAACCCUUGUGCCAAUUAUAAGUAGCUUAACAUGGCUUUAGAGAAUUCAGAGUUUUUGCCGAUGACAGUCUGUCUUCUUAAAACAAACAGAUGAGAUACAGUUAGCUAUUUGCCCAAGCUGUGCAGGGCACUGCAAAACAACCGCACAGGUCAUUCGACCUGGUGCCAAUGAAAGGACACUGGCCCGGUUUGUCAUUUUUGUGAUGGUGCUUUAAUACUGGGGACAUUGUUGUUUUGGAGACAACUGAACCAAGUGGAGAUUGAGCUAUCAGUUUAUUUUAUCAGCUGAGGCAAAGAUGAAAGCUCAGCCACUAAAUGGCUAAAAUAUCAAUGUGUUAUGCAGCAAGCUGGCAGAGCAGACCAUUGGGUGCACUGAGAGAGUGACUCAGGAAUCUCGGAAGGCUCCGGUGUGCUUCCAAAUCUCCCUCCACAGUCUGUCCAGCUCACAGUUUGCAAACUCAAAAUCCUACAGGGGCCAGGGAUGUGAAUGGGUAAAGCUGAUCACUGGAAACUGGUGAGCUAGGCGGCAAGAACAAGAAAACAAAUUAUUUUUUUAAAUUUUCAACAGAAUAUACACAGCAGAAACAUAAACCAAUUCAAGUUUCUACAUGUACAAUUCAGGGACAUUGAUUACACCCUUCAAGUCACGCAACCAUUCUCAACCUCGUUUUCUGAGUUGUUCCUCCCCCCUUAAUAUAAACUCAUUGUCCCUUAAGGGUCCUAUCUAAUCUUUCGAGUUACUGUUGUCAAUUUGAUCCCAUGGAGACAGAUCUUAGAAGAACCUUAAUGCUCAAGGCAGACGUUCUUUACUAGUUAAGCUAAACUACUGUUUGGUUUUAAGAAGGCUUCAGGGAAUUUUCUGGUUUAAGGUUUAAAAAUUACUUUAGGGCAGUAGUUUUGGGGGUUCAUCCAGCCUCCAUGAUGUAAAUUUGGACUUUUAAUGAAAUCUCUUAAUUUUAAAAUAUUAGCUAUUGAUUCAAAUUUUGAAAGCAAUGUGUAGCUGAACAAAACCUAUCUGCAGGCUAAAUACACAUAGUUGGUAGGUCACAUACUGGCCUGUGCUCUAACUAAUCCCCUUUAUUCCAGAGUCAGUACUUACCCUUUUGAUUUCUCACUUUUGACUAUUAAUUUUAAAACACAGAUAUCCCUGAGACAGCCAGUACUUCUUCAGUCCACAUCAAUGAAGAUUUGUUCAUUUCCAUUAAGGUCAAUCCAGCACAUUUACUGUGCAUUGUCUCUGUAUUGCACUCAACUUCUAACCUAAAGGUUGGCGGUUCUAACCCACCCAGCAGUGCUGCAGAAGAAAGGCCUGGCAAUCUUCCAUGAAAUUAACAGCUCAGAAAACCCUAUGAAGCACAGUUCUACUCUGUAAGACAUGGGGUUGCCAUGAGUCAGAAUUGACUUGAUGAUAAGUUUGGUUUUGUUUGUUUGUUUGCUUUCUAUGUAUAAUGCACUGUGCUUGGGCCCUGGCGAUAAUGACAGCCGAUGCCUUCAAAGUAUCAGUCUGAUACCAGUGACCUGUUAACACAUGCAUGGAGCCCCCAGUGUGGAGCCAUCUUGGGCAACCCUGGGCUCUUGCUCUUGCAAACAUUUAUUACAUAUGAAUGCAAACUGUGAAAACAGAUUUGAUGAGCGUAGCUAUGCUAUUAUAAGAAGGCAGUAUCAACAUGAUAGUUGAAAGAGCAGAUCUUUUAAUGACAAACUGCCUAGACUAGAACCCUGAUUCUGCUUCUGGGUACCUUUGUGACUUUAGGCAUAUUAUGUAAUCUCUAAUCUGUCUUUGGUCUCACUAUCCACAUCUGUAAGUGAGGAUAGUAAUAAUAUCUACAUUAUAGUGUUGUUGUGAUGAUUCAAUAAGAUAACGAUAUGUGUUAACUCUAGCACAAUGCUUGCAGCAUGGUAAAUGCAUAGUAAUUAUUAACUACUGCUGCUGCUGUUGUUUUUAAAUAAGAAAGCACUGAAUUUAGAAUGUAGACUCAAGACCCAGAUUUAAGCUCCUGUUCUGCCUCUUAGUAGCUAUGACUGACGGAAUUGCUUCACUAGCCUCUGUGAAUAUCAGUAAAAUUAGAAUAACAUAAAGAUUAAAUGGGAUUACAGGUAGUCCCCAAUUUGCAACGGGUUCCGUUCCGGCAACUCCAUCAUAAUUCAGUUCUGACAUAACUCAAAUACCUCGUUUUUUUUUUUUUUUUAGUUUUCAUUAUUAUUGCCUUUUAUUAUCAGUAUCUGUAUAAACCUUAGCACUGAACAUCUUCGUGUGAACAUCUGAGAACGAUGACAUCAGCAAAUCAUGCCCUGCAACAUUGUAUGUAGUACGUAUCACUAACGAUCAUAUGUACCCCCUCAAAAAAAACCAGAUGGUCAUAAAUGCGGCUCACUGUAACUUGACCUGUCAUAAGUUGAGGACUGCCCGUAUGUAUUAUACCACAUAAAGAGAUCCACAAAAGAAAAGUGUUACGUGUUGCAGGGGGACAGGCACUUCCUGCACCAACACAGCACAGUCACCAUGGAGACAGUAGAGGAACCAGGGCCCAUUCUGCCCUCUCACAGUUCUGACUCAGGUGCCCUGACCCACGCCCUGUCCCGGUUAAUGCUAUUGACUCUAGAAUGAGUAAAACAAACGUUCAGGAAGUAAAAAUCAUGCUUCUGGGUACCUCUACUUUGUUAAAAGGAGUCCCUGGCACAGGAAUGGAUUACCCAGUAAGCAAGGUAGGCAUGUGCUGAGGGCAUCAACAGAACAGGGGCACCAGUUGUUCAAACCAAAGGACCCAUAGAUGCCAUGUAGACAGGGCACAAGGAAAAGUGAUCGCACAACAAUGAUUCAAGAACAACUCGAUUCAUUAUUCUUAUUAUGAAUGGAAGUAGAUAAAAUUAAAGAGUAAUUUGUUGUAAUAUUUGCUUUUUGAUCAUUAAAUUUUCUUUUAUGACAUCUUUUCAUUUGUUCAUUUAUAAUUAUAACAUUUAUUAUGAAACAAGCAUCAAAAUUGAAGUAUGAGCUGUUUAAAACAAAUUGGUGAACAUCAGUUUUUCAUUGUGGGAGAGCAACAGGAUUUUACUAAAGUUCACUGGCUCAUUUUCUUUGUUGUAGAAUAUGUGGAAUAUUCUUUUUGUAGAAAAUGUGGUACAGUAGUCCCCCCUUAUCCCCAAUUUCAGUUACCUGUAAUCAACCUCAGUCUGAAAAUAUUAAAUGGAAAAUUCUAGAAAUUAACAAUUCAUAAGUUUUAAAUUGCUCACUGUUCUGUGUAGUGUGAUGAAAUCUCGCACUGGCCCACUCCAUCCUGCCUAGGACAUGGAUCAUCCCUUUGUCCAGCAUAUCCAUGCUGUAUAAGCCACCUACCCCAUUAGUAGCUGUCUCAGUUAUCGGAUCGACUGUCUAGGUAUCGCAGUGCUUUGUGUUCAAGUAACCCUUAUUUUACUUCAUAAUUGCCCCAAAAUUCAAGAGGAGUGAUGCUGGCAAUUUGGAUAUGCCAAUAAGAAGCCAUAAAAUGCUUCCUUUAAGUGAAAAGGUGAAAGCUCUCGACUUAAUAAGGAAAGGAAAAAAUUGUAUGCUAUGGUUGCUUAAAAUUAUAAGCUUUAUAAUUGUUCUAUUAUUAUUGUUGUUAAUCUCCUACUAUGCCUAAUUUAUAAAUUAAACUUUAUCAUAUAUAUGUACAUAUAGGGAAAAACAUAGUAUAUGUAGGGUUCGCUACUAUCUGUGGAUUCAGGCAUCCACUUCGAGUCCUGGAAUGUAUCCUCCAUGGAUAGGGGGGCUACUGUAUAUAGUAAAAAUCUUGGUACCCUGCAUCCACUAAAAAUUUUGUAAUCUGGUUCAUCUCAUUCUGCUAAAAUGAAAUACACCGCUUUUGUGUUCAAUUGCUAAUAUUACAGGCACAUUUAAAGAGAAGUUACAUUAUGAAUAACUAAGGUAUACACACACGUAUAUAUCUAACUCAAUAUCCCAUUUGACUGCAUGAGUAAGCAGAGAAGGGGGCACCACCAAUUAUCAGUGCUUAGGGCCCUCAAAUCCCUUAAUCCAGCUCUGCCUGGGUGGCACAAACGGUUAAGUGGUUGCCUACUUCACUGGAAGGUUGGUGGUUCCAACCCACCCAGAGGUACCUUGGCAGACAGGCCUGGCAAUCUGCUUCCAAAAGGUCACAGCCUUGAAAACCCUAUGGAGCAGUUUUAGUCUGCACACAUGGGGUCACAUGAGUCAGAACUGGUUCCGUGGCAACUAACAACAACAGCAACUUUGUUAACAAUAUUUCCUAAAGAAAGAAUACCCCUUUGAGUCACAAACUCCCAUAUUAAACUUGUUUUAGAUGAGCUCCAAACUGUGGCUUCAGAGAGUGAGAAAUUCCAACGGCAUAGCCUGGGAUUGUGAGACCCACAAUCCAAUGUAAUACUCCUUAUUUUAGAAAUGAGGAAACAGGACCAAGCGAUUACGUCCUUUAUCCAAGAUCAUUGAACCAGUGGUCCUUGCACUACCCUGAGAGAUUUAGACUCAGUCAUAUUUGGGAUUUCCACGUCUCUCUGACCCCCCACAUUUUUUGAAGACAUGUCACAUAAAUUUAUUUCAGUGUCUUUAAGUUGGAGCCCUGGUGGCAUAGUGUUUAAGAGCUCGGCUGCCAACCAAAAGGUCAGCAGUUUGAAUCCACCAGCCGCUCCUUGGAAACCCUAAGGGGCAGUUCUGCUCUGUCCUCUAGGGCCACUAUGAGUGGGAACCAACUCGUCAGCACCUAACAACAACAGCAUCAUCUUUAAAUUGCUUCAAAGUAAAUGACAGAAUGGAUAUGAAGGCACUUACACUAUUUCUACACGAUGCUCAAUAAAUGUUCCUUGAAUCUGAAUCUAAAGAACUUUACUAGAUCACUUUAUUCUGUGAUAAUAUUAGAAUAAAAUAAUAUAUUGAGCAAAACAAAACAAAAAAAUGGUGUAGUCCAGAGUAAACUUUGUUUUGUAGGGAAAAAAAAAAAAAGAACAUUACAACCAAAUGAAAAUAAAUUGAUCAAGACAGUAAAAACCUUGUUCCCCUCUUGGAGCUUGUGGGAAGAGAGCCUAAUUUAUACACAUCCUUUUUAUAGCCCAUGUGCUAAUUGACUCAGAGAGAACACCUGUGUCAUUUAUUUUUAAAAAUCUUACUAAAAUCUACAUCUUAGUGAAAUUCUAGGAAAGACUAGCAACAGCUGGCCCCACAUCUGUUUGAAUGAUGCAGCGUGAAAAGGAUUCUAAAUAUAGUUGGAAUUGGACUCCAGUGUACGUCUGUGCUGUACUACAAAGUGUCAGUUGAACUAGAUCUGAAGGAGCUUAUCAUUAAAAUAACCUAAAACUAAAAUGGUGUGGUUUGCUCUGGAAAGCAACAAAUAUUUACCUUUAAGCAAUCUUUGGUAGUAAACUUGAAAUCUAACUGGUCCAUUCCCACUUGCCAGCUGGAGAGAAAGAUUAUACCAGAGCUUAGGAGAGGAAAAAUAAAUCACAUCAGUGUGAGAAAGUUGAUUUUUACAAGAAGUCUUCAUCACAUCCAGUAGCUUAGAAAUGCCUUGUUUUUAUUCUUCUCAGUCCUUGAGUCUCGAGACACUGGACUUAGCGGGCUGUCAGCAUGCAUCCUUCCUUCCCUUCCCGUUUUUUCCUUUCCUCCCUCUCCCUUCCUUCUUCUCUCCUUCCCUUGCUUACUUUCUUCCUUCUUUCAACAAAUAUUUCUUAAAUGCCCACUCUGUACCAGGGACUUUUUAUACCCUGAGGAUGCAGAGAAGGAUAGGGUAGAUGUCGUUUCUACUCUCAUAAUGUUUUAAAGUCUAAGUGAUAUAAUGGAUAAAACCUAGUGCCUUAUUAUACUUUAAACAUGUACAUUUAGCCCUGGUGGUGUAGUGGUUAAGAACUUGGCGGCUAACCAAAGGGUCGGCAGUUCGAAUCCACCAGUGCUCCUUGGAAACCCUGUGGAGCAGUUCUUUUCUGUCCUAUGGGGUCACUAUGAGUCAGAAUCAACUCAAUGGAAAUGGGUUUUUUUGUUGUUGUAUCUAUAAAGCUCAUAGUAGUACCUGGCACACAGGGCAUGGGCUAUAAAUAUCAUCUAUACAUGCACUGAGUUUACAGAAGUAAGAAUACAAGGUGCUGUGGGGCCUGUAACAGCAGACCAAAUUUAAUAGCUACCAUUUAUUGAGCACUUAUGAUAAGCCAGGAAUUCUUCGUGUAUAUAUAUAUAUAUACAUUUGUCAUAUUUAGUCAUUACAACUUUCCAAGGAUAAGAAUUAUUAUCCCAAUAAACAAGUGAGGAAGCUGAAGCUGCAGCUCAAUGCGGGCAAGUAAGUUGUCCAAGGGUUACGUGGCUGAUAAGUGACUGAGUCAGGGUUCAAACUCAGGUUUGUCUUGACUAAAACUUGAGUCCUUAACCAUUGGGAUUUACUGGAGAGUCUCAUGUGUGCAUCUCCAAGGUCAGUUGCCACAGGCCACUCCAGGCGAUGGUGUCACUAGCAGCACCUCUGAUGCCUGAUAAACUGAUUUGCACUCACCUCUCAGCACCUCACCCUCUGGCUUCUUCCCAUGGUUCACAACACGACUACUAAGGAAAAAAAAAAAUGUCAAAAGGAAUUAAUCAUCAGGAAAGACUGAAGGGCUUUGCCUUAAUGCUUAUUUUCCUUUGUAUUGAUAUGUCUUUACAACGGUAACAACACUAACGGAAAUUAUUCAAUGGACAAUCUCUUUCAAAUUUGCCCAAUUUUCAGAGCCUUUAAAUAGCAUCUUAUAUGUGUGUCAUCCACCUUAUAUUUGCAUAGUGCACUCUACUAUUGAAAGCAUUUUCGUGCCCAUGAAUUUGCUUAAGCCUCACAAUCUAGGCAGUAGCAUCACUUCUUUCCAUUUUGUAGAUGAGGAAACUGAGGCCUAGAGCAAAGAAGUUGCCUAAAGCCAAUAGUUCAUUUCUAGCAAAGUGGGAACUCAAACUCUGGUCUGAUUCCUUUGCGUACUGAGAAAAUCAGUUUAUGUAGUGAUUGUACGCCCCUGGACUGAGGGCCAUGUUUUGUUGUUUAUCCCAGAACUUUAGGAGAUGCUGAGGAGGGGUGAGCUUCUCUGACCUCACCACAUACAGGAAACCUUGAGGUUAAUAAGAUACAGAAUCUGCCUCCUGGUCUCUGGUGUUGCCCCGAGCCCAGUGUCACUGUUUUGAGCCUGCUGCUGCUGGCUAGAGACAACUGAAAACUAAAAUUUAUUAAAAUAGAGUACCUAAUUAGGACAGCUUUCUCUGCCAGGCCCUUUUCAAUCAGUUGUCUUCUCUCCAAUAUCAUUAGUCUUUCCAUCUCUGCUGGCUUUCUUCUCAGCUUAGAAACCCACUCAAAUCUUUCUCUUUAAAAUGACAGGUAGGUAAGGUAGACAGACAGAUAUUGUCCUGCAUUUUGUUAAUGCCCUUCUCUCCCUUUCCCUUCUCAAGCACCUUCUUAAAAGAGUGGUCUGAAUUCCCAGACACCCCGUGCUCACUUCCAUUCACUCCUCAACCAUGACCACCUGAUCUCCGACCCAGUCCAGUGAACCCCUCUGGAAAGUAUCUCCAGUGGCCUGAAGGUGGCCAGAUUUCUCAGUCCAGGUCUUACUGAGCCUCUUUGCUUCAUUUAAAAUGUUGGUUACCUUAAUGCUGCGAGAACCCCUCUUCCUCUCCUUUUUUGGCUCUCCUGUCCUCCUCCGCCCACACUUAAAAUACAGUUUCUUAGGAUUCUGUUUCUGGAUUGCUCUUCUUUCUGUUGACAUCAUUGUGUCAUUUCACUUAGCAUCCUGGCUUCAGCCCCCCAACUUCACGUUGCUAAGUGAGAUUCCGAGCCACGAUCCUGUCCUUCCGGCCCCGCUUUCUACUUGGAUAUCUCAUGAGCAUUUCAGCUUCAACAUAGCCUUUUUGCUUCCCAAGUCAGCUCCUCCUUUAUUCACUACCCCAGUCAAUGGAUCAGCCCCGGAACCAAAAAACCUGGAGUCAUAUAGAUGAGCCCCUUUCUUUCUCCUGCACUCAAUAAUCACAUUUCAGUUAUUUUUCCUCCUAGAUGUUUCUCAAAUCUGUUCUCUCCCUGUGCCUGAAAUGCUUCUCUCACUCGUGGUGGUGGUGGUGCUGCUUGUUAACCUGGCUAGUGAGCUCAUAUUCAUUCUUCUUCUUUUUUUUAAUACUGUUUUAUUGUGAAACUUUGCACAGUAAAUUAGGUUUCCAUUUGACAAUUUCCAUCAAUUGUUCAGUGACAAUAGUUACAUUUUUCACAGCGUGUCAACAUUCUCUUUACUUGGGUUCUGGUUGUUCCAUCUCCAUUACUCUAGUUUCCCUGCCCCUUUAUCUUCCCAUCUUUGCUUUCGAGUAAAUGUUGACCUUAUGGUCUCCUUUAAGACUCAUCUCGGACUUGAUUACCCCUUUACUUCUGUGUUUAUGUGUGACUUUCUUAACACUCUCCACAUCCUGUGUAUCUGUCUUCCCCCACUAGGCUAUGAGUUUUUUACUGUUCCCUAGUUUUAUUCAUCUUUGUACUCCCAGAGCCUAUAACAGUACCUAAAACUUACUAAAAUGUCAUCAGUAGAUGUUUAUUGAACUAAAUCAAACUUUCUUUCUAGAGUAAUCAGAACACAUGAAAAGCAUUGGAAAAAGGGGUGCUUUGGAGAAAAAAGUAGGCAGUGGUUAUCUAAAGCACCUAUUUCUGUAGCUCUUACAGGAAUACUGGAUGUUAACUAGUAGACUUUGUUCAGCUUCCCAUUUUUGCCUUGUCACACGCAGCAUAUGUGCCCCUUUCUCUUAGCGAAUCUGCCCUGUCUGUCCUCUUAGCCUAGCUAACUCCUGCGUAUUCUGUUGGAUUCAGCUCAAGGACCCCCCUCAGGAUGGGUUAGAUGGCUCUCAUCCAUGCUGGUGACUCUAGCAUGACACUUACCAGAUGGUAUUAUGGUUGUCUGUUUCCUGCUUCCUUGUCUGCCUACCCCACUAAACUGUGAGUCUUGCUCCUCUUAACGCUCAAUGUGUGUGACAUACCUAUGCUUACUCAAUGUCUGAUGACUAAUGAAGGCUACACUAGAAAAGCAGAUCUGAGGUGCUCUGUUAUGGAAAUCUCUAGGGUAUAAUUCCCCCUAGAAUAUCAAGAUUAAGUUUCUUUUCUUGAAUAGGACCUUAAAGCCGUGUAUUUUAGGUGUUUUCAAAUUCUGGUGUCUCCAGUUAACAGUUGUUAAUCAGACUAGCUGAUCAACUACUGGGCUUAAAUCAAAGCAUUCACUAUCAAAGCCUUUUUGUUUAUGAGUACAAAUACACCAUUGAUGUUUCUGAGAAGAAUUAUUUUCUCCCCUGAAUGUUAACUAGCCAGAAAAGCUGGUGCACACAUGUAGAAAAAAAAAUUAUAUUUUCUACUAGUAGUCCAUAUAUCUUAUGCUAUGAAAAUGGGUUGAGAUGUCAUAUUAAAUAGAAAUGUCUUAGUUAAGUCAUAACUGAAACCAAAAGACACAACACAAGUUAGCUUUAGGGGGAAAAGAGGCUAUAAAGAAGUAGGAGCAUCUCAUGAAACCCAAGGGAAAGGGGACUAGGACCAGGAUUUGAAAUAGAGCUCUUUAGGUCUUUCUCAUAAAAUCUCUCACUUCUGCUUUCCAUGACUGGCUUCUUCUCUAUAUAUGUACCUUACCAGCUUUCUCAGUUUCCCUGGACAUCUGGCAGAAGAUGGCCACCUCAGCCUGAGCUGUUUAGUUGAAUUGAAAGAGGCUAGGUUGUAUAGCCUCUUUCAAUUCAACUAAACAGCUCAGGCUGAAUUCGAAUUUCUCAGUCCCGUCCCAACCUCUCAGAAGAGAAAAGGUGGUUGGUGCAGAAUAGGUCAGAAGUCCGCUGUGGUCCAGGCAGCUGUGGUCAAGGGGACAGAGCCAUAUGAAUACAAAAGAGACAGUUCUCAGACUGGAUCAUCAUGAACUAGACAGACGACCUUUACCACCACUAAAACCCAAGGAAGCAUGAGUGAAAAGUACAAAAUAGUAGCAUUUAUUCCAGUUUAUAUAUCCCAGUUUAUAUAUAGGCUUGUUUGUUUCCUCCACCGAACUAUACACACCUUGAGGCCAAGUGCUAUGUCUUAUGUUUAAUUCCCUGGUACUUGGAGCAGUGUGUGGCAUAGGCAUUCAGUAAAUAUGUAUCAGAUGAACAGAAAAGAUAUGAGCUCUCCCUUCAUGGGAAUUAUAGUCUGGUAAUGAAAGCAGGCAAUAAACAAAUAAGUAAAAAAAAAGCUAUAAUUUGUGGUGAGUGUUACAAAAGUUUUAAAAGUGGCAGAAAGGAAUGAGAACAGUUAGUUCAAACAAAAAUAAGAGAGAGAAGAAAGAAAAUAGAGAGGUUACCAAGCAAAAAUCUUUUUAGAAGGUAGCUAAGGGGGCUAAAACCUAAGGUAGCAGCCAUCAACUUUGCUUCUUCAUCCCAAGAGACUGGAGAUGGUAAUCAUAAAAUAUUCUGUUUACAUUUCAUUCCAUUUGUAACUUUAAUUUUAAAAGAAGUGUGACAUACAUUAAAUGCACAGGUUGCUAAAAAAUUAUAAAGAGCUGAAGGAAAAUUAUAAAUAAAUAUAAUUCAUGUUUGCAAUAUCUUUUCAUUUUUAUCUAACAAUUUUAGAUUGAUCAACUCCUAGCCCAGAGUUUGAUGUAAUUAUAAAACAUUUCUUUGAGAUGGUGAAUGAUUAAUUAAGUGCACAAUAGGAGAUAUACUUUGGCCAGCUCUGCAAAGAGAUUUGGAUUAAGAUUACAAAUAACACAAUGAAAAAGACAUGUUCUCUAAAGAACAAACAGGCAGAAUCAGAUGAUACACCAGAAAACAUGUUUUGUCAAUAUGAGGGAAAGAUUGUAUCCAGUGAUAGUAAAUGAGGCUACAGGAGAAGGAAUCUAGGAAAUGUGUUUUUCUACAGUUAUGUUAGAAUACUUGUUGCCAGUAUCUAACAGGAGAGAGAACUAUUUUGGAAGCAAGCCACAUCUUCUAAACAAUAAUUAACAAGAUUUUUGCAUAGCUAUAUUAAUUAGAGUAACCAGCAGGAGCUUCCGUGUAAACAACUCCAAAUCUCAGUGGUUUAUCACUGUGUAUUUCUGCCUAUGUGAAGUUCAGUGCAGAUGAGAGGAGGGGGAAGCUCUGCUUCAUGAAGUUCUUCAGGGACCCAAGCUCCCUCCAUCUUGCGGCUCCAUCUUCCUGAGGAUUCCCUCCGUUCAAGCUUGUUCAUGGGCAAAGAGCGAGGUUGUUUUAGGCCUAGACGUGGAACACUUCACUUCCACUCACAUUUCGUCGGCCAGGACUGAGUCACAUGUAUCACACCUACCUACAAAAGAGGUUGGGAAAAGUGUAGUUGGAGGCUUAGGAGGAAGAAGAAAAUGGUGAGCUUUCGCAGUGUCUGCCACAUUAGCGAUAUGUAGAUUCAAGAAGCUGUGGAAAAGAUGUUGAAAGGCUAAUGUUGUGUAAAAGCCCUUGGUAUUUUCAAAAGAAUUUUUGUUGAUAAAAUUUGAGAUUCUUUCAAACACGUUACUUACAACGAAAUGAAAGAUAGGUAGUUGGAAUUCAGGAAAUGUCACUUAGAAGCCUCUUAAUGCUGGUAGUUGGCGUCUACAAGCCACCUGUAAUUCCCUGGUUCUAUCAGUGCUGGAAAAUCCAGAAGAAAAUUAAGAGCAUACAGAUUCUCAAAAGUACUGAUUAUCUCGUCAGAAUAUCGUUAGUUCAUGUGUUUCCAAAGCACAACUGUGAUAGUGCAUGCCAUGAAAACAUCAUUAUCUCCUCUCAGAGGUUUCCCCAAGGUGAAAAACGAGUUUACAUUGUUGACAGGUCAUGCUUGUUGAACACCUCCUUUAGUCUGGAGCAGCGUUUCCCAAUCAGGAAUUUAGGGAAGAGUGCAGUGCCAUAGUUUGAGUUUGACCUGUCCCUGUGGAAUUGGUUCGUGUCUGAUUCCAUAUGCUCCUUGCUCUGAUCACAACAGCUGUGUCUCAGCUCUGUUUCAGGGCUUCUGCAAAUUUAAAUUCUACCACAGUAAUAGCUUACACUUCUUGAGCACUUACUGUAUUCCAUUCUAAGUACCUCACAUCCUCACAGAAAUCCAGUGGCAUGUGUUAUUAUUUGCCUUGUUUUGCAAGGGAUGAAACUGAGGUACAGAGAUGUCAAAUAACUUGCCCAAAGUUAAAGAGCUAGCAAGUGUCAGCUUGAAUUUAAACCCAGGCAUACUAGCUCCAGAAGUUGUCCUCUUAACCGUCAAACUAUAGUAUAGGAAAAACUUAAACAACAUCAAAGGCAGCCAAGGGAUUUCCUGGCAUUAAAUAUCAGGGAAACAGAAUGUCGCCCCACCUUGCACUUUUAGGGAUCUUGUCUGUUAGUCCACAUUGGGAGUAAACCUCUGCCCAGGAAGUUUCAGAUUUUAUCAAGGAAGAUACAAAACUAUAGGCAGUUUACAGUGUGAAUCUUAAUUGUUAUAAUCAGGACUGGCUAAGAUUUAAGGGCAUAAUUGCAUUGUAGGUGCCCCAAAUUUAGUUUGGCAAUAAGUUGUCUUAGUGCUGACCAGCCAAGUAUUCUUGGUUGGGUUUUUAUAUACUGACUCUGAUUGGUUAUUUUUGAAAUUUAUUUGAAUUCAAUUCAAUAAAUAAUAAUUGAGCAUCUGUUUUAUGGAAAACUCCAUGCUAAUUAUUGUAGGGAAUACAAAUGUAAGGGAAGCCUAGUCAUCAAGGAUACUGAUCAGUAGAAGUAGCAGAAUGACCUUAAAUGUGAGUGAAGUCAUUGAAACUUUAGGUCUUAAAUCUUUAGCUGAUAGAUAUUGUGAUCCCUGAAGAAGUGGUCCUCGUUGUAAUUGUACAAUCAUAUUUCCUCCUGCAUUCUGUGUUAAUAUUCUUUUUUUUUUAAAUAACAGCCUUGUUGAGAUGUAAUUUAUAUACCAUAUGAUUCACUCAUUUAAAGUAUACAGUGCAGUGGUUUUUAGUAUAUUUACAGAGUUGUACAGUCAUCAUCACAAUCAAUUUUAGAAUACUUCAUCACCCCAAAAAGAAACCUCAUACCCAUUAUCAGGCACUUCCCACUUUCUCCCAAGCCCCCUAUACCUAGGAAGCCACUAAUUUACUUUUCGUCAAUAAAUUUGCCUAUUCUGGGCAUUUCAUAUAAAUGGAAUGUACAAUAUGUUAUCCUUUGUGUUUGGCUUCUUUCACUUUGCAUAAUAUUUUCAAGUUUCAUCCAUGUUGUAGCAUGUAUCAGUACUUCAUUCCUUUUUAUUGCCAAAUAACAUUCCAUUGUAUGAAUAUACCACAUUUUGUUUAACCAUCUGUCAGUUGACAGACAUUUGGGUUGUUUCUGCUUUUUGGCUGUUUUGAAUAAUGCUGCUGUGAACAUUUGUGUACAAGUUUUUGUGUGGACAUACGUUUUCAUUUUCAUUUUUCUUGGUAUAUAUCUAGUAGUGGAAUUGCUGGGUAAUAUGGUAACUCUAUGUUUAUCCUUUUUAGGAACUGCCAGGCUGUUUCCCAAAGCAACUACACCAUUUUAGAUUUCCACCAGCAGUAUAUGAGGGUUCCACUUGCUCCAUGUCCUUGUCAAUACUUGUUGAUAUCUGUCUUUUUGAUUGUAGCCAUCCUAAUAGUUGUGUAAUAAGUGGUAUCUUACUGUUAUUUUGAUUUGCAUUUACCUGAUGGAUUAAUAUUUUAACAUUUAUUUUACUGAUCUAAGGCAAAAGCGUAAAGCUUAUACUUUCAAAUUACACACAGAAUGAAAACUCUAACAUUACUGGAUUGACUCUCUAAAACAAAAAAAUACAGUUCUCUACAGGAUGAAUGGCAUUUGUGGGGUUAGAGUUACGCCUGAAAGAAUAUAAAGUAAAAUGCCACGGAGUUAAGAUUAUGCAUUCAUGGGGGAAAUAUGAAUUCAUUCCCAGUAUUUCAAAGCCUUUAUCUGAGCUGCUCAAGUCCUAUUAUUGACAUUUGCUGAUAAUCCAGACAGCACUUUGGCUAAAUCCACAGUGUGAUGUCAGUCAGUAAGCCCUUGGAAGUGGAGAUGCGUGUCUCUUCUGAUUCUAUCAGUUGAGAUUAGCAGUGGUUCACGGCACAGUGACCUUUUUCUCCUCUGUGAUCCAUCAGUCUGUGUCUCACUGUGGGCCAACAGUCUGUCAUGUGAAACUACUUAAAAUAGGUUGGAUUUCUUAAAUGUCGUUUUGUAGUGACAUCAGGAUUGGGCUGCAGAAGAAGGGGAUAGCAGCUUUUUAUUACUGAGUUCUCUCUUGCGUUUCCAUUACAAGCCUGUCGUUUUAGCCGUUUGCUAUAGGCCUAACUACUCCGUAGGCAUUGUGCCUGUCACCACUUAGCUGUUUGGAGCUCCUAGUGUGGUUAUCUCUGUGUUUCUGUCAAACUAAGAAAAGGCACGGGGCUUAGGAGGUGUCACAGUUUUCUUACCGAGAUUUCACCAGCAAGCAGAUCUGUAAAAAGAACAUUCACUAGGCUCAUUUGGUGAGAAAAGGACAAAAAAAAAAUAUUGACCAGAAUCUAGAGGAUUAUUUUUUUAGAGCAGGUCUCAGGAUCUCUCAAAAGGUACCCCCAGAAAAGAGACCCUAGCAGUAGACGGGCUCUUCCUCCCUGACCCACGGGGAGAAGGACCACUCAGAUCUGAACUUUCCCCGUAAGACGGUAUGUCCACGUCUCCAGGUAGCGCAGCUCUGCCAUGAGUCUGAGGGCGACAAAGGAAGGAAAGAGAAAAAAAAAAGCGUGGUAAUUAAUUCCUUCAGAGUAUAUCAUCCUAUGUCCUGCUUGCUUUUUUAACUUUUAACAUGAGUUUGCGUGCCUUAAUAGGGAGGAGGGGGUAUUAACUAGGUUUUUGGGCAGAGGAUGAAUUGUGUCUCCCCCCAAAUAAAGAGAAACAAUCACUUUAUACAUUUGCUGAUUUUUGUUGUUGUUGUUUAAAGCUUUGGUGGAUUCUGUCUUGAGUGUUAUAUUAACUGAUGUCUUAUUUUGGCUGAAACGUAAGCACGUCAUGACCCAACGGUAGUGGUCGCCCCUGCUGAAGAGCCUGGACCACCUCGCAAUCCUGCUGUGCCUUCAGAACUAUCAAAGAAGAGUAACAUUUGUUAAAGUAUUAGUAGGAGCUAUAGCUCAGAUUCUGCUUUUCGCAGAUGUAUAAACCUUGAGUAAUAAUCAUAAAAAAUAAUAGCUAGUACUUAAUGAGGAUUUAGUGUGCCCUAUUUUUUUUUUAGGCAUUAUAGUGGAAACCCUGGUGGCGUAGUGGUUAAGAGCUAUGGCUGCUAACCAAAAAAGUCAGCAGUUCAGAUCCACCAGGCGCUCCUUGGAAACUCUGUGGGGCAGUUCUAUUCUGUCCUAUAGGGUUGCGAUGAGUUGAAAUCGACUCUACAGCAAUGGGUUUUGGGGUUUAGGCAUUAUAGUGACAGCUUUGCUUAGAUAUCUCAUUUCAUUCUUUCUACAGCCCUCUGAAAUGAGUAGUUAUUAUCCUCAUCUUACAAACUGAGGUUUAAUGAAGUUUAAUGGUUGCCUUAUCCAGAACCAGCACUCUUAGCUCCCCAGCAGACCACCUCCCCUGGUGCAUGAUACGUUUCAUGAAGACUACAUAGCCCUGCCCUCCUGUACCACAUCACAGACUAGAGAUGUGGAAGGAAGGGGGGAGGAGAGAGAGAGCCAGAAAAGAGAGAAAUUAAUAUGAAUGAAUGAAAGAAAGAAAACAUACCUCAAAUAGAGAAAUAAAUUGAUGUGGAUGUUUUCUGCCAUGGUAGUUUUUAUAAAAGUUUCUAAGGUUUCCUUUCCCUCCCUCUUAUUCUUGCACACAAACAAGGCAUUAACUGGUGAGGAGAAGCAAACUCAAGCUGGCUGUGCCCAUAGGAAAAUGGCAAAGCUGUAUCUUUCAUGUAACAAGAAUGGAUGAGGGAUUUCGCUUGUUCUUUUGGUUAAGAAGUUAGUAUGAGAAGGAAUGUCACUUACUCCAGUUUUACUUUAGGAAACCAAGCAACUCUGACUACUUAUUUUGAUAGAAAAUACAUAAUGUAUUUAGGAAAUUCAGAAGUAUUUUCUUUCUCAUUGCAAGCGCUGUUAUUCCGAGUCACCCAAUUAAAUUAUCUCUUCACUGAGCCAUUUUAUUAUGACAUUUCCUAAAAUCAGUGAACGAAUUAAAAUCUCUCACAUUCACUCACACACUCCCCACAUACCCUUUUUCAACAGCGUCUGUUUCAUACCUUUCCUACUUUUUAGUCAAGGUAAGCAUCUGAGUGUAAUAUAACUAAAGUUACGUUUUCAUAAAAAUGCCUGGUCACGAGGCAGCUCUUCCAGCCAGUGUCGUCUUUGCCAUAACGCACAGAAUUCCUGGAGCACAUCUCACUCUGUCAUCCCUUGCCUUGGAAAGAUAGUUCUUUAAUCUCCUUGAUAGAGUCUCCACCAAGUAGCAGUCAAGGAGUCCUAGCAGUGCAGUGGUUAAGCACUCUGCUGCUAACCAAAAGGUUGGUGGUUCGAACCCACCAGCCAGUCCACAGGAGAAAGAUGUGGCAGUCUGCUUCUGUAAAGGUUACAGCCUUGGAAACCCUUUGGGGCAGUUCUACACUGUCCUGUAGGGUCGCCAUGAGUCGGAAUUGACUCGACGGCAACGAGUUUGGUUUUAGUUAAGUUGAGGCACUUCCUGGGACUGGCAACUCAUUGCAUUUUGAGGUAGUUCUAAGUAGUGGAAAUGACCUUUUUUGAGCCAAAUUUUGGGUUCUUUAAUGCAUACUUUUCAAUACUAACUCUUCCUUCCAGAAUGAGACACAGUAAAAAGCUUGAACGAAUAUGUUAACUGAUAAACAUAUAUUGAUUACCUACAGUAUGCAAAGCAAUUAUAAAAUGUUUCGGAAUAUACAUAAUUUGCUAAAUAAUAUUAACCCUUGAUGUGGAAGAAAAAACAUGGGCUCAGAGUCAAAUAAUGGCAAAAAUGGGGCUGGCUCUAUACCAGGUACUGUUAUAAACACUCCACAUCAGUUAACUCAUGAAUCCUGGCCACAGCUCACUGAGGUAUGUUUCCUUAAUAUCCCCACUUACAGAUGAGAAAACUGAGACCCAGAGUUCAGAAAUUUGCUCAAAGUCACCCAGUUGGGGAGCAUCAGAGCCAGCGUUUGAAACCAGGUGAUCUGGCUGCAGAGACCCUGCUCUCGAUCCCUUGGCUGUGCCGGUGCUCAGCCAGGGCUUCAAAUCCUGGUGCUGCGCCUUGUCAGCCGGGCAACAGGGAAAUUUACUUAAGCUGCCUCCGCCUUAGUUUCUUCGCCUGUAAAGAUGGGCCCGGCUAUUAUAAGAAUUAAAUGGAACAUGACCAGUCGUUCUUAACAAGGAUUGCACAUCACAUUCAUUGAUGCUUUUUGUUUUUAAAGUUUAGGCCCCACCUGGUUUUCUGAUUUAUUUAAACACUCUGAGGUAUGAGGUUUGCUGUCAACGAUUUGAGGUUUAUGUCAACAUUGCUUCAAAACAAGCAGGGUGUUUUUUUGAGUUAAUCUUGAUAACUACAAAAUUCAGAAGAGUAUUAGUCAGCAUUGAUAGGAUGAAGUUUUGGGUGAUAAUAAAGAGUCUGACUUCAUAAUCGCGUGGAGGUUGUUCUUCAGAUACUUAAGAUGCAUUUCCUUGCCCCACUUGUUGCUGAAAUAUGUGCUGCAUGCGUACUCAGAGCAGGGCAUUUCACAAAGAGCUGAUGCAAGUGAAAAGGAAUGUGUUGUGAUUUUUUUUUUCCUGUGUUUGAUAGCUUCUCUAUGUGACCCAGUGAACUGUUCUGAUAAUAAACCCUUAAAAUAUUAACAGCACCACCUAGAAACACUUUGCAGUUUGACAUCUGUACACAGUGGAACUCACAAAAUUGUAAGCGUUCUAGUUGAUAAAGGUUUCAAAAUCAAGCACAUUGGCAGAAUCGUGAGAUUAUUUAUCAGUGUACUUGCAUUUUGAAGAGCGAGAGAGGGAUCGUUAAGGAAAAGAUAACAACUCCUGUGCACAUACUUUAAUACAUUGAUUUCAUGAGAAUUCUGGGUAAUUAGUUUCAUUGAGAAUAAGUGGAGAACUUUUGAGUAUGUGGCAAGAGAAUGCCAUGGAGCUUGAAGAAUGUUACUCUGACCACGUGAUUCUGGCUUUCUUGAUCUGUCACCAAGUCACUGGAAGUACAUGGCAUUCAGAUCUCAGUCUAAGCCAGAUUAAAGAUGACAAGGCAGAUUCUGAGACUUAAGAGGUUGUGGUGUCUCCAUAGGGUGACCCUGUUUCGUUCAGCGGUCACUCAUUGUCACUUUCUAUGUACUAGGCAAUGGGGAUACAAACAUGCAAAGGACGUUGUCCCUACAUUCAGGUUCAGUCAAUGGGGGAAACUGACAGGUGAUUUUAGUAGAGAUCAGCAGGUGGUUUGGUGUAAGAUGGUCCGGAGAGCCUUUGAGAGUAGAGAGGAGGGUCACCUAUUCCAGCCUGGGAGAGGAAGGCAGGAGGGUGAAGAUACGGGUGCUCUGAGGCAGCUUCCUGCAGGAGGAGAUGCUGAGAUGAGUCUUGAAGGAUGGACUGGCAGUGGCAUGGUUAAGAAAGUAUGGAAGGACAUUCCAACUGGGCUUUAUAGCCUUGUGAGCAGUUCUUAAUCAUCCUACCUAACCAGCAUUCGCCUCUACUCUGUCCAGACAAUGUCCAGCCUGACCUACUGACUUUACAUCCUAUCAUUUUUUCACUGUUAAAAAAAAAAUCAUUUCUCUGACACAUAAUUAGCUGGCUUUGUGAAAUACGAGUUCUGAGGGAAAAAGCAGCAACAAUGCCUGGGCUGUAUCUUUUUGUCCCUAAAAUGAACAGUCCACAGAACUUGUUUAACCUGACCUCUCCCAUCACAAUUUAAUCAGGUUUGACGAGGGAAUGUGCUAGAAUCCCAGUAGCACAGGCUUGUGGGAAGUGGGGCCCUGAGGAAAGUCUUGCCUGCCGAAUGGUUGACAUCCAGAGAGGAAGGUAGCAUCAGGGAGAGCCCAGCCAUAAGCAGCGUCCAAAGUAGUCAUCGGACCUGAGAGUUGUUUUGCUGGCCAAAGGCAGUGGCCCAAGAUAUCCAGGGCUUUUCUAGUUCAAGAAAAGCCUGAACCCCACAACUGAGAAUGUGGGGUGGGCUGGGAGGUGGGGAGCAGAGGUAGGCAGUAAAACAGUGGAUAAGAACACAGACUGUGGAGCCAGACAGCCUGUAUCACUUCCUAGCUUUAAGACCUUGGGCAGAUUACUUCAUCUCUCAGUGCUUUGUUUUUUGCCCUAAAAUAAGGCAUCAUAAUAGCACCCCAAGAGCUCGGGCUGCUAUUCAAAAUGUCGGCUGUUAGAAUCCACUAGCCACUCCUUGGAAACCCUAUGGGGCAGUUCUGCUCUGUCCUAUGGGGUUGCUAGGAGUCGAAUUGAAUCUGGAUUCCAUUCAACACGGGGUUUGGUUUUUUUAUCCUUCAGUGCACCUGGUGGUUGUGAGGAUUAAAUGAUCUAACUCAUGGAGCAGUCUGUCUGAGCGGUUGUGAGGAUUAAAUGAACUAGCACCUGGAGCAGUCUUUCUUAGCUAUUGGGGGACAGGGUCCCAGUUUUCUCGGAAAGGAGAUCUAAGCAUGAUAUCAACCAAUUGCCAUUGAGUUGACUCUGACUUAUGAUGGCCCUGCUGUAGAUGUGAGUAUGUGCAGUUUAAAUGUAAAACCAGUUGCCGUUGGGUCAGCCCCAACUCAUGGUGACCCUGUGUGUAUCAGAGUAGAGCUAUGCUCCAUAGGAUUUUCAGUGACUGACUUUUCGGAAGUAGAUCACCAAGCCUUUCUUCCAAGGUGCCUCUGGGUAGACUCGAACCUCCAGCCUUUGGUUUAGCAGCCAAGCGUGUUAACCAUUUGCACCACCCAGGGACUCCGCGCACAGUCUCAGGACCUCUGCAAUCCGUUAGGAAUUUGGUACAGCACUCCAGUUCCCCACAAGAUAUUAGUUUACCACACAAGCCAAUUGACUGAUUUAGCAUUCAUUCAACACAUAUUUAUUGAAUGUUUCCUAUGUGCCAGAAUACACUGGGGAUAAAUGAACGGAAGUGGCUCAUACAAAGGCCCUGAUGUGGGAGUAGGCCUGGCAUGUUUAAGGAAUUGCAAGGAAGUCCAUGUGAAAUGAGUGAGGGGUGACAAGGAGAUGAGGUCAGAAAGGUAAUGGGGGUCAGAUCAUGUAGGGCCUCACAGGCCAUUGUAAGGACUUGGGCUUUUGUUUUGCGGGUAGGUCAAUAUGGGGUAAGGAUUGAGAGAAUAACAACUACUACUGAUUAUUGAAUUUAUAUAAUAUGGCAGGCAAUGUGCCAAGUGCUUGACCUGUGUUAUCUGAUUUAAUCCUUAAAACAAUGAUGUAAGGUACUGAUACUGUACCCAGGGAGGAAACUGAGACAAGGGGUUAGGUAGCUUGCCUGGGGCAGUAUUUCAACCCAGAUCUGGGUGACUUCAGGAUACUAUACUGUCAUUUCCCAUAGUUUACUGUCAGAUUGGUAGUAGCAAGACUAUCUUCAGACUCCACUUAACCAUGUUGUACUCAGAACCUGGGUAGAAACUCAGUUUCUGUGCUUUUGAAGGACUCUGGAAAUGGGAGACUAAGAAUCUGAAUGCGCAGCACUUCACCACACAAACAUUUCCCUGGGGCACUAGCAGGUGAACACGGUGUCCAAGCUGUAGCCUCAUGCCUCCAACAUCAGUUCUUUUUCCACGUGGACACUUUAAAUGUGCUCACUCUUUCCACAUCUAAAGACUCCAGUGUUGCUAAGUGCUUUUUGAGGGCAGAGUGGAAUCAAAGCCUAAAAUACCAAAGGUUCAAUUUCCUGUUCCUGACCACACUAGGCCAUAAAAGGAGGCAGCUUUCAGAACAGCUGUUUCACCCAUGACCCUGCAGCUCAGCUGUGACUCAGAGGAACCUGUGGGAACUGUCAGACCCCUUUCUCUGCAGGAUGUUGUUCUGAACUGAAUGGAUGUCCUCAAAGUCAGGUUGAAUGUUCAAGACCAAACCACAGUGCAGAACAUGAAGGACAGGUAGAAGUCUUGUUAAAAAUAAGAUAAUUUUGCAGGACCCACCCUGAAAUCAUUUUAAUUCAUACUCAACUAACUUGAAAUUUUGUGAUAACCAUUGAAGGAGUGGAACUGUAAGAUAAAGAGAAGAGAGUGUUAGUGUCAUGGACUGAAUUGCGUCCCCCAAAAAUAUGUGUUAACUUGGUUAGGCCAUGAUUCCCAGUAUUGUGCGGUUGUCCUCCAUUUUGUGAUUUUCCUAUGUGUGGUAAAUCAUAAUCUCUGCCUGUGGAUAAAAAGGAUUAGGGUGGGACGUUAUGCCCCUGCUCAGGUCACAUCCCUGAUCCAAUGUAAAGGGAGUUUUCCUUGGGGUGUAGCCUGUACCACCUUUUAUCUUACAAGAGAUAAAAGGAAAGGGAAGCAAGCAGAGAAUGGGGGACCUCAUACCACCAAGAAAGCAGUACUGGGAGCAGAGCACAUCCUUUGAACCCGGGGUUCCGGCGUGGAGAAACUCCUAGUCCGAGGGAAAAUUGAUGACAAGGACCUUCCUCCAGAGUCGACAGAGAAAGCCUUCCCCUGGAGCUGGCACCCUGAAUUUGGACUUCUAGCCUACUAGACUGUGAGAAAACUAAUUUCUCAUUGUUAAAGCCAUCCACUUGUGGUGUUUCUGUUACAGCAGCACUAGAUACCUAAGACAGUUUUUUUCAACAAGUAUAUUAAUUAAGUGCCUAUUAUGUGCAAAGUACAAUGCCAGGUGCUAAGAAUGAAAAGAUAAAUGGCUUCUACCCCCAACUUGCUGUUUGGGAGAGACAGGUAGUUUACAGUGCACUGUAAGUGCUCUGUUUGUGUUAUAUUCCAGUUGCUAUACACAAAUUCAGCUGUGCAUACUCAGCAAAUAUGAAGAAAGAAAACAACUGCAGUUCAAAUAGUGCAGGGAAUUCUGUCCGUUUCCAGGCUGAGCAUAAGAUGAGAGAUGUGAAUCUGCUAUUCCCUCUCUUGGUCCAGCUUCCUUAUCUUUCUCACAGUGUAGAAUUUCAUUGCAUGGAAUGCGAUUAUAGUGCUCAAAGAUACAAAGUUUUCAUAGAACAUGGCCUUGAGAUGCAUGUCAACUACUUCAUCUUGUGUCCAGCCAAAGAAAGAGCAUUCUUUUCCAACCCUAAAAGAAAUAUUGGCUGCAUUGGACAUUUCUAAGAGAUUGUUGGGUUGGUUUUGACUCAUAUGAGAUUUUCAUCUUAUAUUUGACUUGAGAGCUCAUUUUGACACAUAAGAUUUGACUUCACUGUAGUGGCAAAUGUAGAGGCUGGGGUCAACAAACUGGUUGUGAAUUCCAGUUUCUGAUUGAUUUAGACUGUGGGCAAGUUAUUUGACUUCUAUUAGUGGCUAAUGAUAGGCCUCUUUUUUUUUUUAAUCUAUAAAAUAAUAAUUUUAUUUCUUCCAAUAGCAUUGUUGUGAUGAUAAAAUGAAUAAUAUAUUUAGGGAUCCUAGCAAAAUAUUUAGUAUAAUAAGUGAUAGUUCCAACCUCGUUCCUAAUGAAUGUGGACUUAACCUGUGGGAGCCCACAAAGGUUUUUAGGCAGAGGAUUGACAAGAUCGAUGUAAAUUUUAAGCAAGGUGAGUCUGGCAUCACUGUGAUAUACGGUCUAAAACGUUGAGAGACUGGAAACAAGGACAUGAACUAGCAAGUGGUUACAGUGAUUGAAGGCAGUAGAAUGAAACUGCAGAGGAAAAAGCCAGGUUUGGGAAUUUUUAAAGUAGAAUUGACAAGAUUUGGGGACUGUUUGAGUUAAGAGGUAGGAGAAUCAUCAAAGUGAAGGAUGGCUUUGAGUUUUCCAGCUUGGGAGGUUGGAUAGACAGAGAUAUUGAAUUAACUGGUGUAGGGAAUAUUAAUAGGUACUGUUUUACUACAGGCUGAAACUAUAUUCCUGACACUGAACUAAGGAAUUUAAAACAUGAUUUCACUUAGUCAUCAUGCCAGUCCUAUGGUUAAGUAUUGUCACUGCCAUUUUACUAUUGUGGAAACCUGAAGUCAGAGAAACUUAAUGUCAUAUAACUACUAAAUAUCUCCCAAGGAUUUGAACAUGGAUUUGUCUGACACCAAAGCCUCAUCUUAAACUACAGCAACAGAUGAAGCCCCAGUCUGCAGGAGGGGAAAUGAAGAAGAGAUGGGAGAGUGGAGAUAAGCUUAGUUUUGGAAACAUUAAAGUUGUGUUGCUUAUGUCAAGCAGCGAUAUCUUGAGGGCAGUUGGAUAAUCAGACCUGUAGCUCAGGGGAGGAGCCCUGGUGGCACAGUGGUCAAGAGCUAUGGCUGCUAACCAAAAGGUCGGUAGUUCAGAUCCCCCAGCCGUUCCUCGAAACCCUAUGGGGCAGUUCAGCUCUGUCCUACAGGGUUGUAUGAGUCGGAAUCAACUCUAGAGCAACGGGCUUGAUUUUUUUUUGUUUGUUUAGCUCAGGGGAAGGGUUGGGGUAAGAUAAAAGGAUUUGGGAGUUGGUAGCAUAUGACUGAGGCCACGGGGGAUGAAUGAGCUCACCCAGCAAGGAGAUGUACAGUUAAAGAGAAACCAAACCAAACCCACUACCGUCAAGUUGAUUCCAACUCAUAGCAACCUUAUGGGACAGAGGAGAACUGUCCCAUAGGAUUUCCAAGGCUGUAAAUCUUUACAGAAGCAGAUUGCCACAUCUUUCUCCUGCAGAGUGGCUGGUGGGUUCAAACUGCUGACCUUUUGCUUAGCAACUGAGCGCUUAACCACUGUGCCACCAGGGCUUCCAGUUAAGAGAAGCAGAUCCUAAACAAAUGAAGGUUAGGAGUUUAGAAGCUCUUGUAUACCCAUAUGCAAUGUAAUUUCUUCUGGGCAGAGUGUUACAUUGUGCUUUUGGUGUGUAAACAGAUACGGAUUACCCAAUAAGCAAGGUGUAAGCAAGGGCUUACUUGUAGUUACUCCCUAGGUGAAACUCAUAUGAAAUUGUUCACUACAGAUUAGAAAGUAAACAUAGGUAAGCCCAUGCUUACGGUGUUACUGGGUCAUCCGUCCCUCUCAGAGAUUGUAACUUUGAAAACAGGGGCUUUGGUUCUGUAGGAAGGUGCUGUGGGUUAGGAAAGAGAUGCCAGCCAUACCUAGAAGCAGAAUCUUUGAUGUGGUGAGAAAAUGUGAAAUUGGUCACUACAGACGAUCUGGUAAGCAAGGUAAGCAACGAGCUUAUCUUGCCUAUUGGAUAAUCCGCCCCUGUGUAUAAAUGUGAUUGGCAUUUUUUUUUCCAUCAGCUGUGUGUUGAGUGUUCACUGUGCGUCAGUCCUUGGUAGAGCUUGGUUCCUGCCUUCACAGAGAUUAUAGUCUAGUGGAGAGUCAUAAACUAAAAAGCAAUUAAACAAUAAUAACAAGCCAUAAGCAAUUACAGACAGUAUAGGCUUAAAUGUUAUUUUAGGGUGCUCUUUUAGGAACCCUUGUGGCACAGUGGUUAAGAACUCAGCUGCUGACCAAAAGGUUGGCAGUUUGAAUCCAGCAGCCACUCCUUGGAAACCCUAUGAGUUGGAGUUGACUUGACAGGGGAGUUUUUGUUUUGUUUUGUUUUUUAGGGUCUUACAUAGGAUUGGCUCCCAUCCCACUCCUAUUCUGGGAUCUCCAUUGCCCAAUUUAAGUUGUUUUUUCUCUCUCUCAGUCUCAAACCCCAAUGGAUACACUUGAAUCUAUAUACAUAAAGUGAUAUGAUAGGGCUCCACUGUAAUAAACAUCUUAGUUAGAUGUACACACUGGAAAAAACACUGGUAUUUCUUAGUUUUUUUCCUGAAUUGCAUAACUGCUCUAAGAGACCUGCAUAAAAUUGGAAAGUAGCAAAUUUCUUUUCCACUGACCAUGGGAGCAGAGAACUCCUAAGCCUUCAUGCUGUACAGUAAGUAACACAGUCUGAGAUAAUGGCCUUUGCCUUGAUAGUCAGUCUCCAUUUUGAGAGUUAAUUUAACAUAAUGGUAAAAGCACGAACCCUGGAGCCAGACUGUCUCAGUUUGAAUCAGGGCUUUGAACCAGUUCAUUCUGGUUCGACCUCCUGUUAAGAAUUUGCCUUUCCACCCUAGAUAUACUGAAUUGGUAUCUACGUUUUAACAAGAUCCUCCAGGUAAAUUCUUAUGUAUAUGUGUCUUAGUCAUCUAGUGCUGCUGUAACAGAAAUACCAACAAGUGGAUGACUUUAACAAAGAGAAAUUUAUCCUCUCACAGUCUAGGAGGCUAGAAGUCCAAAUUCAGGGUGCCAGCUCCAGGGGAAGGCUUUUUCUCUCUCUGUGGGCUCUGGAGAAAGGUCCUUGUCAUCAAUCUUCCCUGGUCAAGGAGCUUCUCAGCUCAGGGACUUCGGGUCCAAAGGGCAUGCUAUUCUGCUGGCUCUUCUUUCUUGGUGGUAUGAGGUGCCCCUGUCUCUGCUUGCUUUCUUCUUUCACAUCUCACGAGAUUGGCUUAAGACACAAUUGAAUCUUGUGUAUUGAGUCCUGCGUCAUUAACAUAACUGCCACUAAUCCGAUGUCAUUAACAUCAUAGAGAUAGGAUUUACAACACAUAGGAAAAUCACAUCAGAUGACAAAAUGGUGGACAGUCACACAAUACUGGGAAUCAUGGCCUGGCCAAGUUGAUACACAUAUUUUUGGCAGACACAAUUCAAUCCAUGACAACACAUAACACUAAUACCUAACUUUACAGGUUGUUUGCUAUAUAUCUGCCAAGUACAGUUCUAAGUCCUUCAUAUGUAUUAACUCAUUUGUUACUCCUCAUAUCACCUCAAGAAUGUAGGUACUAUUACUAUCCACAUUUUAUAGAUGUGGAAACUGAAACAUAUAGAGGUUAAAUAUUUUCCCCAGUCACAUGUGUAGGUAAGAAUCAUCUGGGGCUCUUGUUAAAAUUCUUACGUAUACGUAAGAAUCACACCUGGGAAUCUGGUUAAAAUGCACAUUCUCAUUCAGCAUGUAUGGGGUGGAAAUGCAAAUUCUCCACAGGUGAUGGAACCUGAAUGAGCCCGUUCAAAGCCCUGGUUCGAAUUCCUGAUCCACCAAUCUCUAUAAGUAUGUGACCCUGGGUAAAAUAUUUAACCUCCCUGUGUUUCAGUUUCCACAUCUGUAAAAUGGGAAUAGUACCUACAUCUUUGGGGUCAUGUGAAGAAUAAUAAAUAAGUUAACACAUAUAAAGGACUUAGAACUAUACUUGGCAGAUAUAUAGUAAGCAAUCUAUAAAGUUAGGUAUUGGUGUUAUUACUGUAUUAUACCAGCUGAAAAAAGAGCAUUUUAUAUGGUAGCCACUAGCCAGUGAGGGCAGAGUUCCCCACCGCAUUGUUAUUCAUUCACAGGUCAGCUCUCCUAUCACUUAGCACUCAGGGAAGAGUCCAGCAUGUUGUUUCCUCUUGCUCUCUUUUAGCACUGAGGAUCACUGUGGUCCAUGGGAAAUCUAGUGCAUAGUCAAUUUCAAGCCCCAUAGCCAGAGAUAGGGGAUUCUGUCUUUUAAGUAAAGAAGCCCUCUUCCUUGGAAUCACAUGUCAGGUGCUAUGUUUAGAAAUCUUCCAGCAGCAGUCUGGGAAGAUAGCUGAAAGUGUGGUGUAUGGCAUGAAGCCUUGUGUAUGAUAAGGAAGUUAGGUAGCCAGCCACCGUGUUGUCUCUGUUCCAUAAUGUGUGGUCAGAUCAGAGAGGGAUAUGAUUCUUAUUUCUCUAGUUGAACUUUUCUGUCAGUCCUCUUGGGCUGCCAACUGGAAGACCCUGGUUGACAAGUCUCCUGUGUUCAUUUGUUUCUAGACACAGCAAAGAACAAACCCUAGGUUUUUAAAUAGAUGGUAUGAGCUCCAGCUCUGAGCCAGUUGGUCACACCUCAUAUUGUGAUACUGCUGAACAUCUCCCUCAGUAAGUGUCUUCCCUAACUUCCUUAGAAAUCUCAUGACACAUACCUCCCUCCAGCAGGAAGCUACAGAGUUGUUGAUUUGAAAUUCUUAGGAGAAUAAACUUGUCAAUUUCUUGGGCUUAUUUCUAAAAUCCUACUAAGUAGAGUUAUAAAGGGUCUUCUGACCCAGCAAUGAUGUAGUUUGCUCCCCGGAGGGUAUGCCAGAUUUAAUUACUGUGUAAGGGUUAAAAACCACUACUGGAGUCACAGAGGUCAGACACCAGAACCAGCGACAGAUCUGUUUGGUUUGGCCCACACAGUUGUAUAUGCAUAUAUCAAUUAGUUGCAACAUACAAAAAUUGGGAGGUUUCACAUAAAACCUGCGUUCUCACCUUUUUUAAAAAAUGUCAGGUCUGGACUAAUGGACCACAUCUACCACUGCCUCCACCAGACUGAGUCCAGUAAAACUAGAUGGUGCCCGGCUCCCACCGCUGACUGCCAUGACAGGGAUCACAAUAGAGGAUUCUUGACAGAGCUGGAGAAAAAUUUAGAACAAAAUUCUAACUCAAAAAGAAAGACCAGAUUUGCUGGCCCGACAGAGACUGGAGAGUAUAGCCCCCAGACAUCCUUUCAACUCAGUAAUGAGGUCACUCCUGAGGUCCACCCUUCAGCCAAAGAUUGAACAGGCCCAUGGAACAAAACAAGACUAAAGGGGCACACCUGCCCUGGGGCAAUGGCUGGAAGGCAAGAGGGAACAGGAAAGCUGGUAAUAGGGAACCCAGGGUAGAGAAGAGAGAGUGUUAACAUGUUGUGGGGCUGUUAACUGAUGUCAUAGAACAAUAUGUGUACUGUUUGAUGAGAAACUAGUUCUGUAAAUCUUCAUCUAAAGUACAAUAAAAAAUAAUGAACAAAAUGCCAGGUCUGGCAACACUGUUCUCUGCCCCCCCCCCCAUUCAAAUGUGUCAGUUCUUCAGUUUUUCUCCUUCAGUGCUGAGCGUUCACAUACAUACGAGGCGAUUGAAAAUACCACGGCUUUGGUCAGGUGCACCUUAGUCCUCAAGGUGACAUGUUCACUUUCUAAAAACACUUUAAAGAGGCCUUUUGCAGCAGAUUUGCCCAAUGCAGUGCAUCUUUUGAUUUCUUGACUGCUGUUUCCGUGGGUGUUGAUUGUGGGUGCGAGUAAAAUGAAAUCCUUGACAACUUCAAUCUUUUCUCCAUUUAUCAUGAUGUUGCUUGUUGGUCCAGUUAUAAGGACUUUUGUUUUUUUUAUGUUGAGGCAUAAUCCAUACUGAAGGCUUUAAUCUUUGAUCUUCAUCGGUAAGUGCUUCAAGUCCUCUUCACUUUCAGCAAGCAAGAUUGUAUCAUCUGCAUAUCGCAGGUUGUUAAUGAGUCUUCCUCCAAUCCUGAUCCCGCCUCCAGUUUCUUGGAUUAUUCGUUCAGCAUACAGAUUGAAUAAGUAUGGUGAAGCAUACUUCUUCUAAUUUUAAACCGCACAGUAUCCCCUUGUUCUGUUCAAACCACUGCCUCUUGGUAUAUGUGCAGGUUUCACAUAAGCACAAUUAAGUGCUCUGGAAUUCCCAUUCUUCAUAAUGUUAUUCAUAAUUUGUAAUGAUCCAUGCAGUCAAAUGCCUUUGUGUCAUCAAUAAAACACAAGUAAACAUCUUUCUGGUAUUCUCUGCUUUCAACCAAGAUCCAUCUGACAUCAGCAGUGAUAUCCCUCUUUCCAUGUCUUCUUCUGAAUCUGGUUUGACUUUCUGGCAAUUCCCUAUUGAGGUACUGCUGCAACCAUUUUUGAAUUAUUUUCAGCAAGAUUUUACUUGUGGGUGAUACUAACGAUACUGUUUGAUACUUUCUGCGUUCUGUUGGAUCACCUUUCUUUGGAAUGGGCACAAAUAUGAAUCUCUUCCAGUCGAUUGGCCAGGUAGCUGUCUUCCAAAUUUCUUGGCAUAGAUAAAUGAGCCCUUCCAGUGCUGCAUCAGUUUGUAGGAAUAUCUCAUUUGGUAUUCCAUCAAUUCCUGGAGCCUUCAUUUUUGCCAAUGUCUCUGGUACAGCUUGAACUUCUUCCUUCAGUAUCAUUGACUCCUGAUCAUAUACUACCUCCUGAAAUGAUUGAACAUCGACCAGUUCUUUUCGGUACAGUGACUGUGUGUAUUCCAUCUUCUUUUGAUGCUUCCUGCAUCAUUCAAUAUUUUGCCUAUAAAAUCCUUCAGUAUUGCAACUUGAGGGUUGAAUUUUUUCUUCAGUUCUUUCAGCUUGAGAAAUGCUGAGUGUGUUCUCCCCUUUUGGUUUUCUAACUCUAGGUCUUUGCACAUUUCAUUAUAAUACUUUGCCUCCUUGAGCCGCCUUUGAAACCUGUUCAGCUCUUUUACUUCAUCAUUUCUUCAAGUCACUUCACUGUAUGUUCAAGAACAAGUUUCACAGUCUUUUCUGAUACCCAUUUUGGUCUUUUGCCUUCUUUCCAUCUUUCUUUACUCAUGUUUAUUUCCUAGCCCCAUAGGCAUUGGAGUUCAUAAAUCUUUCAGAGCCUAGUGCUAUUUUCUUUGCAAUAUAAUCCCAACUGAAAAGAGAAAAUUCUUGUCAUUACCCUCCAUGACCUAAAUAUAACAAGAUAAUAAAUACUGAGUCUCAGGCCUUUGCUCUCUGAUUUAAGAUGAAGAACCCUAAGUUAAACAUUCUUUGUGUCAUGUAUUUAUAAAUCACACAGUUGAAAAUUUGUCCUCACUUAAUGUUUUUCCUGAGUCAGAGAACAGUCAUUUUCCUUUGACCUUUUUCUGUGGUAGCAUUUUAUGCUGUUCUGGUUACUACCAGCAAUACAGGCUAAACAACAACCCAGAGCUUAACCCUCUGACCUCGUCCUUAGUCAUCGACUUUUGGCUGCUGAUAGAUUUGAAGUCAGGCUGUAUCUGAGGAAGGGAACAUGGAGAUCUAGAGGAGAAAUAAGAUACCUGUUUCACUUCUAGAGGGUUGAAAACUGAGCCAUGGUACCAGACAAUAAAAAGGUAAUGCGUGCAAAGUGUUCAUAAAUAACUUUCAUUGGGAAGCUAUUUGCCUCCGUCUUUCUGUUUGGCACAUCCAGGCUGUCUUCCCCAGGUUCUACGGGCCUCCCCCAUUCAAGCACAUGAAUCUCAGGUGGUGACAUUCGCCCUAACUCAAGUUCUUCCUCUUUUGCACCAUUUUUUAAAUUCUGAAAGUGGAAGAAGUGCGUUUUUCUUAACACCUGCCAGCUACAUGAAGGCAAUUUGAGCAAAAUAACAUGAGGCAAGUGCACAGCAGUCCAUGAAAGAAUUGUGUUAUGAAAGUAGAAAGUGCAGUUAUUGCCCUGUAGAAGUGUGAUCAGUUUACAAAAAUUUAUUAAGCACCUUGGGAACUUUGGAUAGAAAAUCAUAAUGUGAAUAUUAGUCAUUCAUUCCAUUGUCAUCCUUGUCUCACUUUACCAGAGAUAUGUUUUACUAGUUUGCUCAGAUUCCCGUGACUCCAGUUUCACAUGAGGUCGAGGACUUCUCAAUCGAAGUCUUUAGUGGCUUCAGUAGGUCUGAAAUUUCAGAGUAUUGAGCAAGGCCUACACUGAGCGAGAGCAUGACCUAAUAAGAUUGGACUGUCAAAACAAGAAGCACCAGUCUGAGGUUGAAAGGUUUUUAAGAAGGAAAUGUUAAAGCUCUGCUGUGAGAACCUCGAAACGAUAAUAAAGCAUGUAGGUUAGAAGCCUGUUUCUUUUUUACUUUUACUAAGAUAGCUGGUACACUCACCCUAUUUAAACAGAGACACUGAUGCGGAAUGAAUUAUGAUUAAACAGAAACAAUAGAUGGUAUCUUUCUAUUGGGAAACUCUAAUCAUUUGUAUAACAAGUAGGAUGAGGCAUCAGAAAAUACAUGAAAUAUUUUGCUCAGGCUGAAGAAUACUUGGAGAGACUAGCUCCAGAAAUGCCCUAAGAGAGAAGAUACAGCAUCCGUUAGGAGCUCAGACUCUAAUUGGAGAGAAGUGGGUUCUGUUCCCAGCUCAUCAGCUGUGAGAUUUCGGACAAGUUGUUUAACCUUUUUGCUCCUCAAUUUUUACCCCUGAGAUGAGAAUUGGAGCAUUAUUGGAUUGCCAUGGUGUUUGAAAGAGAUAAUGCGUGGAGAGGGCUUGAAACAAUGCCUGGCAUGUAAGUGCCCAAUAAAUGAUACCAAUUAUUAUUGGGUAAAACGGAAAUGUGUAAUAGCUUUCUGUUUUGAAUAUUCAAUAUGGUUUCCGAAAUAAAGACCAGUAUCAUAGAUAACUUCAGUUCUAAUUUUUCCAUAAUUACUCUGAAUUCCUGGUUGCUUUAAGCCACUUAAUCUUCUCAUUCAUUCUCCAGUAAUUUCUCAUUCUCUCAGCCAGUACCGUUCUAAUGAAUAAAUGCCUAAGACCAAAUCCGAACGGAGGCUUAGGCUGACUUUGAGACUGAGUCACUGUGAUUUAUUUCAACUUUCUUUUUUUUUUUCUGUUCCUGUACUGAGGAUUUAAUACGUAACACUUGCACUAUACCUACUGCUGAAUUACAGUGUGAUAGUUAAUGAGAUGUGUUUAUGAAAUGUCUUACAGUUUGUAAUAAAUCCAUCACUUAUAAUAAGAAAACGUUAAUAAAGAAUAUAGUCUAUUGAUGAAUUUAGAUAGAUUACAAAGGGGGAAGAACCAGUGCUAAUGGUGAUCUCAUUUUUAAUAUGUUAGAUAAUUUGAUGGCUCGGAGUUACGCCCUGGUCACUAACUGCUCUCACGCUGUCUUCUUUGUGUAACUGGGGGAAGAUUUGGUUCUAGGGGCUCUACUGAGGCAUUUGGGUUGCCACCAGCAGAGGGCUUGAUCUGUGCAGCCACAGCUAGAGACAGAAGCAAAUAAUUCCUUUCCAAAUAAUAGAAACCAUGAAGAAAGCACUCUCCUCAAUUCUGGAUGGAAUUAGACACCAAAUAAGAAUUCUCUUUAGCUCACCUCUUUGUUUCAUGUAAAACACAGAAUCUUUGUAGAAAUCUGAAAAAAGAUAUAUACAUAUGUAUAUAUAUAUAUAUAUAUAUACACACACACAAACUGUUUAACGUUUCAUUUUUCCCCAUCAAGUCUCCAAAGAAGGGAAUCUGUUUUCACCUUGGACUUUGAGAAACAUGGGCAAUAAAAAACAGUUCGUUUGCUCUAACCUUGUUUAUGAUGUCACUAGAAAUUCUUGAUAAAGUUGUCAACGUGAGUAUGCCAUUUAAUUAAUAGACCAUGCUUUCUUUAUUCGUGAUAUGUUGUGCAAUGCAUCAGGCAUUUCCCCUUUCUUUCCUGUAAAUUGUAACUUUCUGGUGAUUAGCAUUUGAAGUCUUUUCCUGAUUAAGGAAUUGUCAGCUGAAAUCAUCAGGGAUUUCCCCUCAGCUGUUCUGAAAGAAAUCUGGAGAAUUUAAUAUGUUGCUUGGAAAUUAAGAAAUUUGGAGUAAUUGUGUGAUCGUAAAUGGUGAAAUAGAAUCAAGAGAUGAUUGGCUUUCUUGAAAAUAAGAUAAUGACAGGGUUACAGAAGAUAUAAUUAAUAAACUUUAAUGUCUCUGUUUUAUGCUUUUCAAGAUUUUUGUUCUAUUUUUGAGAUAAAGUAGGAACAUUAAAGUAAAUUAGCAUUUCCAGGGUAGUUAUUCAGAAUAGUGGAAAGAAAAAGAUUAGCAUGUGGUACACAAAGACCAAUAAUCAAAGAGGGUAGCAAACAUGCAGAAAUUUUAAAAUAAAAUUUAAGAUGCUUGGAAAGUGGGUUUGUUUUAUUUAAUUUCUUGAUUUCCUCACAGUUAACAGAAACCUUCAUGGUUUGAAGCAUUACUAGAAAACCAUCUAAAGUAUAUACCCUUGUUCCCUCCACAGUGCUACGAAAAAAAAAGAUGGCAGACUGGGGUACAGGAGAGCACUCUAGACAAAGCAAAGAGGAAGAAGCCUGAUUUAGGUGCAGAUUGGUUGCCAUCAAGUUGAUUCUGACCUAAUGAUGACCCCAUGUGUGUCAGAGUAGAACUGUGCUCUGUGGGGUUUUCAGGCUGAUUUUCCAGAAGUAGAUCACCAGGCCUUUCUUCCAAGGUGCCUUGGGUAGACUUGAACCUCCAAGCUUUUGGUUAGUAGCCAAGUGCAUUAACCAUUUCCCCCACCCAGGGACUCCUUUACAUGUAAGGGGUACACCCCUUGCCUUCUAGUAGAUAGUAAGCUUUCUGCCCAGUGACAGGAUGGGGUGAGGCAGGAUGGGAUAGGGUGGGGUGAGCAGGGGUCAGCUGGUUGGUGCGAUAAAGGAUGAGGACCCUAUUUGAAAAGAAUCGUCAGAGAAGACCUCUCAGAGAAGUAACCUUUGAGCAGCGCUAGAAGGAACCAGCAUAGACAGCCAGAGAAAAGUUCUGCAAGUAUGGUGGAAAGGAAGUUGCACAUGCAAACGCCCUGGGGCUGGAAUGAAUUUGAUGUUCAAGAAAUGAUAAGAAGGCAGGUGUAGCAGGAACAUAGAGGAAAAGUGUAGGGAGAAGACCUGAAAGGUAAGAAGGGGCAGAUCUGAUAAAAGUAAGCUACAGGGAGAAAAUAAUAGCCGUUGGGUUCAUUUUACCAAAGCUUCCUACUACAGUGUUUGAAUAUUAUCCCAAUUCUAAAAAUGGCGUGUGAAAAACACUUAAAAGGAAUAAUAAGGGUCUGUGUGCCAAGUUUGAACCAACUGCAAGUUCCAAAUUUGUAUUUGAUGACAGAUAGGGCUUGCUCUGAGUGGUAUCUCUUGGAAAGAGAAGGCCCUCACGACUUGCCAGCUACACCUCUCCUGUUGUCAGCUUCCACAUAAACAAAGGAGACUGGCGCUCAGUAUGGUGGCCUCAAACCCUGUGAUGUGUCUUCUCCCUUCAUCCUCAGCCCUAGCAUAUGCAUUACACAUGCGCCGAGAGUUUCAGGGCUCUUUAUGCCCCAUAUUCCUCCAUAGUCAAAAUGUGAUACUGCUCAGUCUCAUGACAAGGAAGGAACCCCACCCCCACCCUGCCACACACACACACACACACACACACACACACACACACACACACACACACACAACUUUACAUUCCUUCUCUCCAAAGGUAGGAGAAAUCAGUUUAGCAAGAUAAAGUGAGACAUGGAAGGGAGCCAAAUAAUAGACCCGAGAUUCCUGGGAAACCAAGCUAUUACAACCAACUGGUGGCAGAAAACUCGGAUGCUUUCUCACUGUGCUCUUCCAACCCACUGAGAACUCCUGGGCAACCCAGUCUGAACACCUUAAGGCUAGAUAGCAUUUUCAGGGUAGUUAUUUAGAAUAGUGGAAAGAAAAAGAUUAGCACGUGGUACACAAAAACCAGUAAUCGAAGAGGGUAGCAAAUAUGGAGAAAUGUGAGUUGGAUGGAUGUAGGAGAUGAUUUGUUCAAAAUCAGUUCGCAACUAGAAGCAAAGUCUUCAAUGCCUAAGUGGAUACUGAAGCAGCAGGCCAAUUCCUCCUUGCCCCUAAAAGCCUCUACAGACCCUAUAAAGCAGUAACGUGCCUUUACGUUCUCAGUUUCCUUUCAAAGAGCCUUGCGUUUUUAGGCACUUGACCACUCCCUGAAAAUAACCAAGCCCAGGUGGUGCGUGUCUGCCGAUUUUCUUUUUUCCACCUCUGGUAGUGGGACUGUGAUUCUGACAGUAGCUUUCCUUCUCAAUAGUAAGUAUCUUGUAGAAAUCUAUUGAGUGCAUUCGCUGCGCAUCAUUCCUGCACAGCAUGCCAGCUGUUGAUGACACAGCACUUCAGUAAGAUGCUAGCUGGAGUCUCGCUGAGGAAAUAGGCAGGCGUGAGAAGCAUUGUACCAUAUUUUUACACAAAUUACGCAUGUUAUACAAGAAAUGUUUUACUUAAUUUCAUCAUUUCUGCAUGUCAUGUGUGGGUGCAUUGUAUAUGUGGGCGCAUUAUUUAUGUCAGCAUGUUAUUUGAGAAAAUACGGUAACAGCAGAGGUAUGAACAAAGUGUCAUGUAAGGCAGAGUGAGAGCAACUGAUUGUAGGACUGAAGGAGGGCGUCAAGUAACUAGACGUAUGUUGAAGGAUUUAGAGGAUGGAGAUAUAAUUAGACACAGAGAAUCACAUGAGCCAAGACAGAAACAGAAGAGCGGGCGUGCAUAGCAUAUUCCUUCAACAUCGACAUUUUCAUGAGACUGGAACCUUCUUUACCUUUUUUUUUCCGUGUGUGGGGGCAGGGAAAAACAGAUGGAUGGAGAGUACAGAAAUAGAGAAAUAAGGACAAGGGGGAGUAGAGAAGUAGGCAAUGGGAAGCUCCAAGUAACAAAGCAGUAGUAUAUGGGCCUCAGGAAGUUCUUUACCUGGAGCUCCAGUCUCACAUCAGCAAUGUGGGAAAGCUUCUGCCUGGUAGAGUUGCUCUGAGGAUGAAAUAAGGUGCAUUAUAACAUAGUUGUUAGGAGCUAGGCUUGAAGCCAGAAAGGCCUGCCUUCAAAUUGUGCUACCUUCUUGGGCUAGCUAAGUAAUUUUGCAUGUCCCUGAACCUCAGUUUCCUUGGCUAUAAAAUGGGAAUAAUGGCAUCUCCCUCACGGGCUUGUGAGGAUUCCAUCAGCUAAUGCUUGGCAGUGCUUAUCAGCACAGCGCCAGAUACAUGGUCAGCACUCAGCAAAUGUUAGCUCCCCUCCUCCAUCAUCACAGAUGACAGACCUUUGCUGAAGGGUAGUUCCUUUCCCCUAAGGAAAUGUGAUAGCUGGCAAUUUUAAAUCCCUUGGUAAUUUUGUCACUGUAACUGUGCUAAGAGAGCAGCUUGACCUUUUUAGCAGUUAUCUUUUCCAUGGAGGGGAUCUCUCUUUCAGGCUGCACUGUGUUUGUCUUCCUUUGUUGAACAGUAGCCUCGUUCCUGUCAAAUGCCUGAUGCUGACGAAUGCCAUCCCCAGGCAAGUAGGUGAAUAGCAUUCACCACUCCUGGAUUCAACUCUUCUAAUUUGAGGUAACUUCCUACCUUCAACAGCAUACCCUUAAGCUCUGUACAACUCAGAUAUAUACAGUGAAACCUGUGAAAGCUGGAACUCAACAGGACUGCCUUGUUUUUCUAAGUCUUUCCAAGUUUUCUGCCUUUGAUAGGGUGCAGUUACCACUUUUCUGUCACUCUAUUUAGCAGAACAUAUUUGAGUUUUCCUUUUCUGACAGGUUUCCACCUUACACGGGUUCCAGCUUUUGCAAGUUGACUGUAUUUAUUUAUAUAUAUAUAUAUGUAUAUAUAGACACGUGAUAUUGUAUAUAUGUAUAUACUAUACUGUGAGAAGCAUAUGACCCAAGGCCCGGCACUAAAGUAGGUAGCUGCCCUGUUAGGAAAAUAGAGCUAUAGAACUUGCAGAAAACAGGCAACAUUAUGAAGAAAGUAUAUUACAAAGUACAAAGUCUAUUCCAAGUAUGUUUAUGACUCUGGCAAUAAGUACCUUGCCCACCCAGGAAAGGGAGAGGAAGCUGGAGUUUUCAGGGGAGGCUCCAGGCUGUAGGAGCUGUAUUAUGACCAACAAGCAUUUCUUAGAAUAACCAUCAUUUUUGGUUUUACAACAUCGCCCCACCUUCCCCACAAACCCUAAAGGUGAGGGAAAAUAAGACUAUGCUUUAAAGCAGUAGUUCCCAAAAGAUGGCUUCUUUGUACCUCUACUCUUGCUCUAUACUCUGAAAUCUCCCCUACUAAUCUGCAUUUACUGAUAAUAAUUUAUAUCUUGCAUGUUUUAUUAAUCAAAGACAGUUGCCCGUCAGAGAUCUUGAUCAGCAUAAGUCAUGUUAACUCGGUAUAGCAACACUGUUAUUGAAUUGCAGUUAUUAAAAGGAAAAAGAAGAAGCUAGGCUGUUUUACUUAUUAUGAAUCUAGACUGUAAACUCCUGUUAAUACCAUGUACAUAUGUGUAUCCAGAAAAGGUGCAAAAUCCAGAAGCCAUACAGGAAAAGACUGAUAAAGUGGACUACGUAAAAAUUUAAAAAAUUAUUCAUGGCAAAACAUACCCUGAGUAACAUCAAAAGACAAACUAUCAACUGAGGGGGAAAAAAUGUAAUUCAUGUAGUAAAAGCUUAAUUUCCUGCACAAAGAUUUCUUAUAAACCAGUAGGAAAAUGCCAAGCCAUUGCUUUUUUAAAAAGUUAAAGGACAUAAGCAGGCAAUUUCAGAAAAAGAAAUACCUAUCACCAAUAAACAUAUAAAAAGAUGUUUAAUCUUACCAAAAAAAAUGAAAAUGUAAUAAACUUUUUCAACUAUCAGAUUAGUAAAGACAUACAUGUCUGAUAACACUCAAUGUUGUAGAGUAUAGGAAUUUACAAAAAUUGUUAGUAGGACUGUUGAUUGGCACAACCUUUUUGCAAGGAAGGUUGGCAAAAUCACUUGAGUUUAAAACGUACCUACCCUUUAAUCUAACAGUGACACUUUGAAUAAUUUAAGAGAUAGAUCCACAUAUAGAAUCAAAGGUAUGCGUGCAGUGACUAUGCAGUGAUGUUCAGUGCAGCAUCUGUUAUAUCAGCCAAAAACUAGAAGCAAAAUUUCAGCUUCUGAUCAAGAUGAAGUAACAAGGACCAGCUUUAACCUCCCACCUGAAACAAACAAACAAAAAAGGACAAAAUAUAAGGAACAGCUGCACUCAAGACACUGUACAUCAGUCAUUGAAGGGCAGUGAUCUCUGAAGAUAGAAAGCAAAUGAAGUGAGCCCAUGAUUGACCCAGCUACCGCCUAGAGAGAGUUCCCAGAACAUUGCACGUGGAUGGGGAAACCAGGCAGAUCUCUGUGGUUGCCCUGAGUGGAGAAGAUGACAUUAGGAGUUCAGGAAGGCCAGGAUGGCUAGAGGAGAGGAGAGAGCUACACAGAAAGAUGGCGACUUGAAAGAAUCUCCCCUGAGUAUUUAGUUGAGUACCAAUGAGCACAUGCAUGUGAGGAAGCUACUCAAGGCCAGGGAAAGAAGCAUCUGAAAUAUUAGAGAGAAUGGUGCUUGGAACUCUCAGUAGGCUGGGAAUAGUGCCUGUAUCUACACAAGGAAAUGAAGAACACCAUAAAGGGUAACUACAUGGGUGUGUAAAUAUAUAUAUGUAUAAAUACAUGUAUAAAGUUUCUUUUCCUUAUUAGUUUAACCUCUUUGAAUGACAACUCGUUGCGUCAAGUCAAUUCCAACUCAUGGCGACCCUAUACAGCAGAGUAGAACUGCCCCAUGGGGUUUCCAAGGAGCAACUGUUGGAUUUGGAUUGCCGACCUUUUGGUUAGCAGCCGUAGCUCUUAACCAGUACACCACCAGGGAUUUCCUUUGAAUGAUAAUCAACUUUUUAAAGCGAAAAUAAUAACAGUAUAUUUUGAGGUUUAUGAAAUAUGUAGAAGUCAAAUGAAUAACAGCAGUAAUACAAAGGCCAGGAUAGGAGAAAUGGAAGUAUACUGUUUUAAGGUUACAACGGCACUGGGUUCUGGGUUUAUACUAUACAUGGAGCCCUGGUAGCACAGUGGCUAAGAGCUAUGGCUGCUAACCAACUGCAGUUCAAAUCCACCAGCUGCUCCUCGGAACCCGUAUGGAACAGUUCUACUCUGUCCUGUAGGGUUGCUGUGAGUUGGAAUUGACUCAACGGCAACGGGUUUUUGGUUUAACUGUACAGGAAGUUCUUGGAAGAAGUACAACCAGAAUGCUCCUUGGAAGCAAGGAUGGCAAGACUGCCUCUCACAUACUUUGGACAUGUUGUCAGGAGGGACCAGUCCCUGGAGAAUGACAUCAUGCUUGGUAAAGUAGAGGGUCAACGAAAAAGAGGAAGACCCUCAAUGAGAUGGUGUGACACAGUGGCUGCAACGAUGAGCUCAAGCAUAGCAACAACUGUGAGGAUGGGGCAUGACAGUGUUUUGUUCUGUUGUGCAUGGGGUCGCAAUGAGUCAGAGCUGAUUCAAUGGCACCUAGCAACAACAACAUGUAUGAAGUAGUAUGAUAUCACUUAAAGGUAACUAUGAUAAGUAAAAUAAAUGUAUUAUAAAAUAACGCAACCACUAUAAUACCACAGCAAAGUGCUAAUAUAUAAUAAGCCACCAAAGAAGAUAGAAUGCAACCAUAAGAAGUACUCAAUUGAAAAGAUACCAGGAAAAAAAGAACAGAUAAGACAAAUAGAAAACAAAUAGCAAAGUGGUAGAAUUGAAUCUAAUUGUAUUAGUAACCAUGUUAAAUGUAAAAGAUAUGACAUAGUGGUUAAAAGACAGAGAUUAUUAGACUGGAUAUGGAAAAAAAAAGACAACUAUGUGCUGCCUACAAGAAACCCAUCUUAAAUAUAAAGACACAAAUAGAUUAAAAGUAAAUGACUGGAAGAACAUGCUGACAGUAAUCAAAAGAAAGCUCAAGUGACUAUAUUAAUGAAAGUACAUUAAGAAACUGGGAAAAGGAGCAAAUGAAACCCAAAGUAAGCAGGUGAAAGAGAAAAUAAAGAUCAGAGUGAAAAUUAGUGAAAUAGAAAUCAGAAAAUCUAUAGAAAAAUUCAUUGAAACCAAAGAGCAAGUUAUUUGAAAAGAUGGAUAAAAUCAAUAACCCUCUAGCCAGAAUGAGGAGGAAAAACAGAAGGAUUAUACAAGUUACCAGUAUCAGGAGCGAGAAGGGUGAUGUCAGCCAGAUACUCCAUAUACUAAAGGGAUAAUAUGUUAGCAUUAGGAACAACUUUAUGCCAAUAAAUUGAACACAGAUGAAAUGGGCAGAUUCCUUGAAAGGCUCAACUACCAAAGCUCUCUUAAAUAGAUAACACGACUAGUGCUGUAUCUGUUUUUAAAAAUGAAUUUGUAGUUAUAAGCAUUUCCCAGAAAGAAAACCCCAGGCCCAUGUGGCUUCUUGGUGAAUUCUACCAUAUAAGGAAGAAAUAAUUCCAGUUUUACCCAACCUUUUCCAGCAAGUUGAAGAGGAAUACUACCCAAUACAUUCAGUGAGAGACCAGCAUUACCAUGAUACCAAAAUCAGAGAAAGACAUUACAAGAACAGAAAACUACAGACCAUUAUCCCUCCUGAACAUAGAUGUAAAAAUUCUAAACAAAAUUUUAGUAAAUCAAAUCCUAAUACAUAUAAAAAGUAUAAUUCAAUGUGACCAAGUGAUGUUUAUUCCAGGAAUGCAGGGUUGGCUUAACAUUUAAGAAGAGGUGUAAUUCACCAUGUUAACAGACCAAAAAAAAAGAAAGAAAAAUCAUGUGAUCAUUUAAAUAGAUGCACAAAAAGCAUUGGACAAAAUCCAAUAAUGCUUCUUGGUAAACACAAAACUCUUAGUAAACUAAGAAAAAAAGGAAACUUCACCCUGAUAAAAGGGCCAUCUUUGAAAAACUUCUAGCUCACAUCAUAGUUAAUGGUAAAAAACGGGAAAUUUGUUCCCCUACAAGAAGAAAGGAUGCCUACUCUCAAGACUUCUAUUUAACAUUGUACAGGAGGGUCUAACAAGUGCAAUAGGGCAAGAAAAAACAAUAAAGUCACCUGGACUGGAAGGGAAUUAACAAAACUGUAUCUAUUUGCAGAUGACAUGAUUACAUAUAUAGAAAACCCAGUGGAAUCUACAAAAAAGCUACUAAUAAGUGAGUUUAGCAAAUUUGUAAGGUACAAGACGAAUAAACAAAAAUCAACUGUACUCUUACAUACUAGAAACAAUCAGAAAUUGAAAUUUUUUAAACGCACUUUAUAACAUCAAAAAAUAUACCUAUGGCUGUAUCUGACAAAAGACGUGCAAGAGCUGUGUACUGAACACUGUAAAAUAUUGCUGGGAGAAAUCAAAGAAAACCUAAAUAAAUGGAGCAAUAUACCAUAUUAAUGAGACAGAAAAUUCAAUAUGCUUAAAAUGUCAAUUCUUACCAAAAUCUCAGCAGUUUGGGUUUUUUGUUUUGUUUUUGUUUGUUGUUUUAUUUUAAUUUUUUUGUCGAUAUCGGCAACCUUAUUCUGAAAUUCAUAUGGAAAUGUGAAAGACUGAAAAGAGCGAAAAUAACUUUGAGAAAGGACAAAAUUGGAGGACUUACUUUAAGACUUAAAAAGCGACAGCAAUCAAGACUGUGGUAAGAUAGACAGCAGUUAAACAGGUAAAUGAAAUAAAAUAGAGUAAAAAAAUAGACCCAUAUGUAGGUAGUCAGUUGGUUUUUCACAAAUAUGCAAAAGACAGUGCAGUGGUUGUCCAUAAACAUCCCAGUACAGUUCAAUGAAGAAAGGACAGUCUCUUCAGUAAAGUAGUCCUGUAACAAUUGGUUAACUAUAUAUUUUUGAAAAAGCUUUGAUCCACAUCUCACAUCAUAUACAAAAAAAUGAAUCAUAGAUCUAAAACUCUAAAGUUCUAAAAGAAAACAUAGGAGAAACUGUGACAUUGAUUUAGGCAAAUAUUUCUUAGAACACCAAAAGGAAACAAAAAUAUGAAUUGGACUUCAUCAAAAUUAAGAACUUUUGAGUUUUGAAAGACACUCAGGAGAAUGGAAAGAUGAGUGACAGACUGGGAAACAGUAUUUGGAAAUCACAAAUCUAAUAAAGAACUUCUAUCCAGAAUAUGAAAAGAACGCCCAAAACUCAAUAAUAAGAAAACAAUCCAAUGAAAAUGGGAAAAAAAAAAAAAGGCUUUGGAAAGAUAAUUGAAGUGAACAGACAAAUGAGGAAUAUACACAGGUAAGCAGAUCAGCACAAGUAAUGAUGCUCGACCUGAUUAGAAAAAGUAUUGCCUUCCAGUUGAUUCUGACUCAUAGCGACCCUACGGGACAGAAUAGAACUGUCCCACAGAGUUUCGAAGGAGCACCUGGUGGAUUCGAACUGCUGACCUUUUGGUUAGCAGCCGGAGCUCUUAACAAGUACGCUACCAGGGUUUCCAGCCUGAUUAGUCACUAGGUAAAUGCAGAUCAAAACCCUGACGAGCUCCCUGUACACUCCUGUUUGUUGUUGUUAGCCGCCAUGAGGUCACCCCCAGUUCAUGGCAACUGUGCUCAUUCAUGAGUUUCUGAUCAGGCUGUGGUACUCCACAGGGUUUUCAUUGUCUGGUUUUCAGCAGUAGAUCUCCAGGCCUUUCUUCCUAGUACAUCGUAGUCCGGAAGCUUCCCUGAAACCUGUUCAGCAUCACAGCAGCUCAAAAGUCUCACUGACGGACAGGUGGUGGCUGCUCUUGAGGUGCAUUAGCUGGGAACCAAACCUGGCUUUGCCACAUGGAGAACGGAAUUCUACUGCUGAUUUACACCUCGUUAAAAAGGGGGGACAAGAAGCUACUUAAAUGUUCAUUAUUAGGGAAUUAAUUAAAUAAAUUCUGAAGUUAAUCUACAUGUGCCAAUAUGAAAUGAUCCCAAAAAUAUAUAUUAAUCAAUGAAAAAAAGCGAGGCACAAAACAAUACGUAUUAAUGUAUGUCCUUUUGAGUGAAAAAUAGGUAUUAUAUAUGUGUGUGUGCUUAUAUAUAUUAUGUGUAUACAUAUACAUUAAAGUGUGUGUAUGUGUGUAUCCUAAGGGGUUUCAGUGGUUUUUUCCGAGGAUUGGGACUGUGGUUCUGUGGAAAAGAGAGGGAGACAUUCACUUCUCAUUUUAUUCACUUCUGUUGAAUUUUUUUACCGUAUGUGUGCGCAAGUAUUCUUUUAUAAAUUUUUUUAAAACCUGUUUAAAAAAGUUAAAGAGGGAAAGAGAGAAAAAUCAAAGUUGGCGAUGAUCAUUUAAAAUAUACUGUAAUUACCAGCUGAAGAUAAUAUAAUUACCAAUUGAAAUAUAAUCCAGUUUAGUUUUUAUUCUUUUAAUCCUUAUAAAAUAUCCUUUUUUUAAGAGGCUAUGAAGACCGUCCUGGGUUAAGAAAUUGGGUUAUGGGUUUGUCUCAAGUAACUAAAAUGUUUUAUGAGCCUUAUGCCUUAUUUCUUGAUCAGAUUGAAGUAGGAAAGUAUUAUUUUUAAAAAGGCCUUUUAGGUUGAGCUGAAACAUCUACUUUUUACUAGGAUGUGAGAGCUACGGCUGUAUUUCAAGAGAAAGAAAUGGAACUGAGGAGAUCAGGCCUGCUUUUCCAUACAGGUGUUGGGCACAGAAUAGAGCAAAAGAAAAGGUGUCAAAAGUAAGAUUUCUUUAAGAAUAUUAUAAAACUUGCACUUUUGAACUGAAAGACCCCAUUUCUCCAACAUGGUGUAAGUAACCACAAAGUCGAUGUAUGUAAUCAUUGGAGGAUUUAGAGGCAAAACUGUAACUAAUUAUCAGAAGAUUACCAUGAAUGGUUUUACAAAGACUUCUUGACAACUCUGAAUGGGUUGGAAGGAUUAAUGAAUAGGUAGCCUGGGAACUCCCUUUGAAUCUUUUGAGAUUAGUAUGCAUUAAAGAACUCCUCCUCAAUAAAAGAUUGUCAUACUCAAGAACAGUCGUAAUUAUGGGUGAGGUUUUCCAGCACAAGGAAAUGCAUUUUUUAAAACUGUUUGCUUCAGUGAGACAAACUUUUGAGGAAACAGCACAGGCCAUUUUUCUAGAUUGGAUAACAUCAUGCAAACACUCCUUGCUGACCCCUUUCUCCGGACUUCUCCUAUAGUUUUUUAGUUAUCACAUUCAACGUGACAGUCAGAAUCUUGUCCACAAACAGCGAUGUCCUGAACCCGACUGUGUGAACCGUCAUGAUGCAUCUAUCUUUAUAAGAGAUGCCUGAAUUAUUUAUAAGGUCAUGUCAUUGGUGCAGAGCAGGGUGGGGCUAAGUAUAAUGAACGUAUUCUCCAUUUAAGAAUCAAUUUCUAUGCCUGUCUCAUCCAAUUCUAGUGAAGAGAGUAAAGUAGAUGUGUAGCAGAGCACCUAGAGAGUUAUAAAUGUAUACAUGACCAAACAACUUGAGGGCCCAGAUGGUGCACCUUGUACCAGGCAUGAGAAGUAUCUCAGUACAUAUUUUCACUGGAGAAAAUCUGGGCGCUUAGCCCCACUGGUUUGGGAACUUGAUUAGCUGCCAAGCCAGAGGUGGGUGAUGAGUAGUCCUCUCGUGACAGCGCAACUCAAACUGUGGUCUUGAGGAUCCUCUGUAUGACUCACAGACUGGUGCACAGUCUCAGCGUUGAGUGUUUGGUUGCUGGCGUGAAUCAGUGGUUGAUAUCCAUCCUUGGUGUUCCAUCAGAGACGGCAACAGCCUUUUCCAUUCAUUCCAGUCAGCUGGGCUUCCAUUUUCUGUGUGUGGUGGUGUUUUCUUUUUUAGUGGCAGGGGAGUUAUAAUCUUGAAAUGUUACAGCUAGAAAUACUAUCCAAGGUCAUCUAGUCCCAACCAUCUCAUAGAUGAGGAGAUUUCUAGUUACUGGUUCAGUGAGACUAGAAGUCAGGCCUCUAGACCCCCAGUUCAGUGCCUCCUCUACUGCCUACAUUGCACCUGCCCUCUCAUACCAGCUGCAGACCAAAGACAUGUGAGAAAUGUUGUCCAGAUUCACUCAAGAUUGAGCUGUGACCAAGAUAGCCAUUUUAUUAGUUUGGAUCAAGAGAAAACCACUGUUGAAUCAUGUUGCAGCAAAAUCAAGGUACGUCCUCAUCGUUCCAUAAAACCCCACCUGGGACACCAAGUCUGAAUUAUAGCAACACCAGCCUGACCUCAGUCCGCAGCAAAGCAUCCUUUCUUAAUAAGUUACCUCGGUGAGAACAUAGGUACAAUGUUCUUGGACUCUGGGACAGCAGCAGCUCACCACUGCAGGAGCCCUCAGCUGUGAACAGGGCUGGCCACAUCAGCUUGGCCCUUCCUUCAAAGCUGCCACACAAACCUUCCAAUUGCCAUUGUUUUUUGAUAUCCUGUUUCCUUUCUUUUUAGUUACCAAGAACAGUUCCCUUUGAACAGAUACUGUGCUUUGUUUACAUUCGGGGUUAGGUAUUUAUGUUGAUUUCCACCUGGAGUCCACGUCUGCCUGUGAUUAUAGACAACCUCAUUCCCAGGUGAUCUGAUUCUCCAGCAACACACCUGGCUAGCUUGUGCUUCUGAACAAAUUUUGAGAGUCUGGAGGGCAUUUUUUACUUGAAGGAAUAAUCCUUUGUUGUCGUCUCGCCUGGGUAUAAAGCAAAGCUAGUGGGUAACUUCUUUAUCUUGUGGCUCCAAAUCCACUGCUGUGGAGUCUAUUCCAACUCAUAGCGACCCUAUAGGACAAAGAAGAACUGCCUACAUAGAAUUUCAAGGCUAUAAAUCUUUUACAGAAGCAGACUGCCACAACUUUCUCCCAUGGAGCAGCUGGUGGGUUUGAACUGCCGAUCUUUUGGUUAGCAGCUGAGUGAUUUAACUACUGCGCCAUCAAGGUUCCUUCUUGUGGCACCAUCACAGUAUAAAACCCAAACCCAUUGCCGUCAAGUCAGUUCCGACUCGUGGUGACCCCAUGUGUGUCAGAGUAAAACUGCACUCCAUAGGAUUUUCAAUGUCUAUGAUCUUACGGAAGUAGAUAGCCAGGCCUUUCUUCUCCAGUGCCACUGGGUGGAUUCAGACUGCCAACUUAGUGGCCAAGAGCAAACCAUUUGCCCUACCCAGGGACCUCAUCAUAGUAUAACCCAUUGCUGUUGAGUCAACUCCAACUCAUUAGAGUGGUAAAUAGUGUGGCUUCUGGAACCAGGCUUAUUAGCUGUGCGACAUCAGGCAAAUAUACCUCUCUGUGCCUUGGUUUCCUCAUCUGUAAAAUGGAGAUAAUAUUCGUAAUCUGCCUCAUAGAGUCGCUGUGAGAACACAUCGUGAAUUGAGUGAAUUCAUGUAGAAUAUUAGCUUAGCACAGGGCCUGGAACUCAGUGAAAUGAUGGGUAGUAGUGGUAGCGGUGGUGGUCAUAUUAGUAAGAAUGGUUGUUAUUGCCACUACUCUCCAGCCCUCUCCAAAAGAACCACCACUACCUAGAACCACAGACCUUUGGGCCACUGAUUUGGGAGUUAGAGCUUAGGUGGGUAAGCUGAAGGGAUGGGGGAGGUGAUAAAGACCUAGGAAUGGGAGGGAUUGAGUAGCUGUAAGUAGGCAGGUCAAGUGGCUCUCAGAGGGAUGAAAAUGAAGCUGCUCUUUUGCUAGAGGGAAACAGAAGGAGCUUUUGACCCUCCACGAAGAAAAGUACAAAUCUACUCCAUUACUGUUUUGGCAUUCUCAAAUCUCAGAGAGAAAGGCUAGCCUCAAGAAACACAGUUCUACAACACAGGCUUUAGGAAUUAAUGGACCAAAUGAUAAGCUAGCGCCUGGAGGACUCUACAUUUAAUUCCAUGUCUAGUGACAUUCAUUUUGUAAACCUUGAAUGUGUACUGAGUGUGAAGGAAAACAAUUUAGAUUCAUCCCAAUAAGAAGAGGCAGCUGUUGACAGGGGAAGCCUGCUGACCGAGGAUUUCAACAAGCAGUGGUCCUUCCUGGCGCUGCCUCCAGCAAGCAUGUGACCUGGAGCCUUCACCUCUUGCUCUAGGCCACAUUUCUAAAAUGCAGGGUUUGGACAAGGCUCCUUUCAGCUCUGAUGUAAUAACUGAGUCUACUGAAAUAGAAACCCACCUUACUCCCUUGGCGCAUUUGGUUUUUGUGUUUGCGCAUACGCACACAUGAACUCUGAAAGAGGUGGUAAAAUGUCUUAUUCAGGAAGAAAGGUUUCUCAUAAUUUUCAACAAGUCAUUAGACGUCUAUGACUGUUUCCUCACCUGUAAAACGGUUAUCAGUGCCCUGGGCCCUACCUCAUAGGGUGCUUGUGAACAUUAGAUAAUAAAAAGAUUGUAAAACCCUGUGUAAAUGUCAAGUUCUGUGUAAUGGGAAAGAGGAACCUCAAAUAGGGGAGGAAAGCUCAGCAUGUGAAAGAUGAUGCAAACUAUGGAUUUUCUCCCUGACAUUUAAAAAAAAAAAACACAUAUUUUGAGAACCCCUGAAACUAUUGCCCUGAGAUAAUCUUUAAACCUCAAACCAAAAAUUUCCCUUAAAGUCAUUUAAAACCAAAGAUCACUUUAGCUUUAGUAGUUAAAAAGAUCUGCCUUUAGCAUCGUGUUCUUUUAAGAACUAUCUGUAUUGGAUCAAAUUGACAACAGCAACUCGAAAGAUCAGAUAGGGACCUCAGGGGGCAGUGAGUUUAUGUUAAUGAAGGAGGAACAACUCAGAAAAGAAGGGUGAGAAUAGUUGCACAACUCAGAGAAUGUCAUCAAUAUCACUAAACUGUACACGUAGAAACUAUUAAAUUGGCGCAUGCUUUGCUGUGUAUGUUCUCUCAACAAUGACAAAAUAAUUUUUAAAAAUACAUAUUUUCUUCAUUUUUAUCAGAAAAUAGCAGUUCUUUGUAUGUACUUUUAUGCUUAUGCAUUUAUAAUAAUAGCACAGUUUGGGGGACUACAAAGUCAGACCAUGUGGUAAAAAGGUAUUUCCCUGCUUCAGAACCCAAAUCCCCUUGCAAGGAAUUUAAGACAAGCGUACUUUAUGUCAAAUUCCAUUUCAUAGGGAAGUUGCAGUGUCUAGCAUGGACCACUUCUUGCUGUCAGAACUUUAUUUGUAGGGACAGAAUUGUGGCAGUUUAGAGUGCAGUGGGGGCAGUGUGGCCCCCAGUGUGCUUUUUAUAAGCUUCAGUCAGUCACAGCCUUUGCAAGGGCAAGUGAUGGUUCCGUAUUUCAUCUAUUUGGCAACUUUCUCUAAGGAGAUCAAAGCUGCUUUGUGGACUUAAUCUAUUUAAUUCUCACCACAUCCACACCAUGUAAGUAGCUGCUCUAACUCUGCUGAUACGAAACCCACAGCCAGAUACUGGUCUUACGCUAUUUAGUCUUAGGAACCUUUGAUUUCAAAAUUCUUUGGUUUCUCAUGAGCAUCCCCUUUUCAAGGGCGCCUACACAAGCAAAUCAUCAAGAAGAGGAGUUGGAGUCAAACUUUCCAAAUUAUCUUCCCAUUUGUCCAUAUCUCUAAAGUAGACCACUUUGAGAAUUUUGUGAAGGGCAUGCAGUGUUAGCCUCCAAUUCAUAGAUUCUCAGGAAAUUGACAGAUUAACUGAGCAUUCCUAUUCAGUGUUAGAGCUCCUAAAAUUUUUGACUUUAGGCACAAUCAGUUUUAAGGUCACAUUAAUUGCAUGGUUUAUAGAACCACAAAUCCCUUGGUUUGGCUAGUUUUGUGACCUUGAAAAAGAUGCCUACCUUGUGUGAACUUCAGUUUUCAGUAAAACAUGAAUAAGAGCCCUUGCAUCACAGUUGUCUCAGUUAAAUGGGGCAGUGUAUAUAUAAUGAUUAGCACAGGGCCUGGCUCACAGUAAGCCUUCAAUAAAUAAUAGCACUUAACUUUGCAAAGCAAACAGGUUCUUAGAUUAGUUUUACCCUUGUUAAGACUUUCACUCAAUGUUUAAGCUCUAGUCAAGCAAAUCCAGGUAUGUUACAGGUUUUCUUUUUGAAAGAAUGCUUAGUAUGUUGCUGUAGCAAGCCUGCUACCUUCUCCCUUCACUUCAGUGUUGCAUAUGUGUUACAAGAAGCUUUCUCAGGAAGACAUUUCUGUACUUUACCUUGGAUUUGUGUCAAAACAAGAUUACGUUUUUACUUGCCCCGUGAGAAGCUAUUUAGUCUUGUGAACCUUUGAUUUCAAAAUUCUUUGGUUUCUCAUGAGUGUGGUAAGCUUACAUGAGGUAUGCUUGGAAAUACGUAGUCAGUUUGGGUUCUGGUGGUGGGGGGAGCAGGAAGAAGAAAGGGGGGGCGGUGGAUAAAAUGAUCUAAUGCCUUUUGGAACUUGCAAGAGGCAACGUCUGAAUGGAACACUAAAUGUGAAUCCAAUAUCCAGGCAUUUAUUGUUGCCAGCAGCUUUUGUUCCUAAAUGUGGGGCCAUUGAGUUUGUUCCAACCCACAGCGACCCUUUGUACAACAGAAGGAAAUUCUGCCCGGUUCUACCCCAUCCAAUUGUUGCUGUAUUUGAGCCCAUCGUUGCAGCCACUGUGUCAAUCCAUCUUGUUUUUCCUAACCCUCUACUUUACCAAGAAAGAUGUCCUCCAGGGACAUGUCCCUUCUGAUAACAUGUCCAAAGUACGUGAGAUGAAGUCUCUCCAUCCUCGCUUCUAAGGAGCAUUUUGGCUGCACUUCUUCUUCCAAGGCAGAUUUGUUUGUUCUUCUGGCAGUCCAUGGUAUAUUCAACAUUCUUCACCAACACCAUAAUUCAAAUGCAUCAGUUCUUCUUCAGCCUUCCUUAUUCAUUGUCCAGUUUUCCCAUGUGUGUGAGGUGAUUGAAAAUACCAUGGCUUGGGUCAGGCACACCUUAGUCUUCAAUGUGACAUCUUUGCUUUUCAACACUUUAAAAAAGGCCUUUUGCAGCACGUUUGCUCAGUGCAAUACGUCACUUGAUUUCUUGACUGCUUCCUCCAUGGACAUUGAUCAUGAAUCCAAGCAAAAUGAAAUCCUUGACAACUUCAGCCUUUUCUCCAUUUAUCAUGAUGUUGCUUUUUGGUCCAGUUGUGAGGAUUUUUGUUUUCUUUAUGUUGAGGUGUAAUCCAUACUGAAGGCUGUGAUCUUUAAUCUUCAUCACUAAGUGCUUCAAGUCCACCUUACUUUCAGCAAGCAAGGUUGUGUCAUCUGCAUAAGGGGCAGGUUGUUAAUGAAUCUUUCUCCAGUCUUGAUGCCCGGUUCUUCUUCAUGUAGUUCAGCUUCUUGGAUUAUUUGCUCAGCAUACAGAUUGAGUAAGUAUGGUGAAAAAAUACAACCCUGAUGCAUAUCUUUCCUAAUUUUAAACCACACAGUAUCCCCUUGUUUUGUUGGAGGAACUGCCUCUUUGUCUAUGUACAGGUUCCUCAUGAACACAAUUAAGCGUUAUGAAAUUCCCAUUAUUUGCAAUGUUAUCCAUAAUUUGUUAUGAUCCACACAGUCGAAUACCUUUGCAUAGUCAAUAAAACACAGGUAAACAUUUUUUCUGGUAUUCUCUGCUUUCAGCCAAGAUCCAUCUGACAUCAGCAAUGGUAUCCCUCAUUCUAUGUCCUCUUCUGAAUCUGGCUUGCAUUUCUGGCAGUUCUCUGUCAAUUUACUGCUGCAACUGUUUUUUACUCGUCUUCAGCAUAAUUUUACUUGGAUGUGAUAGUAAUGAUACUGUUCGAUCAUUUCCACAUUCUGUUGAAUCAUCUUUCUUUGGAAUGGGCACAAAUAUGGAUCUCUUCCAGUCGGCUGGCCAGGUAGCUGUCUUCCAAAUUUCUUGGCAUAAACUAGUGAUCACUUCCAGCAUUGCAUCCAUUCGUUGAAACAUCUCAGUUGAUAUUCUGUCAAUUCCUGGAGCGUUGUUUUCACCAGUGCUUUCUGUGCAGUUUGGACUUCUUCCUUCAGUACCAUUGAUUCUUAAUCAUAUGCAACCUCCUGAAAUGGUUGAACAUCUACCAAUUCUUUUUGGUACAGUGACUGUGUAUAUUCCUUCCAUCUUCUUUUGAUACCUCCUUUGUUGUUUUUUUUUUUGUUGUUCAGUAUUUUGCCCAUAGAAUCCUUCAAUAUUGCAACUCAAGGCUUGAAUUUUUUCUUCAGUUCUUUCAGCUUGAGAAAAGCUGAGCAUAUUUUUCCUUUUUGGUUUUCUAACUCCAGGUCUUUGCACAUUUCAUUAUAAAACUUUGUCUUCUCAAGCUACCCUUUGAAAUCUCCUGUUCAGCACUUUUACUUCAUCAUUUCUUCCCUUUGCUUUAGCUACUCGAUGUUCAAGAGCAAGUUUCAGAGUCUCUUCUGACAUGCAUUUUGGUCUUUUCUUUCUUUCCUGUCUUUUUAAUGACCCUUUGCUUUCUUUAUGUAUGAUGUCCUUGAUGUCACCGUACAACUUACCUUCAGUCAUUAAUGUUCAGUGCAUUAAAUCUAUCGUUGAGAUGGCCUCUAAAUUCAGGUGGGAUAUACUAAAGGUCAUAGCUUGAUUCUCAUGGUCUUGUUUUAACUUUCUUCAGCUUCAACUUAAAUUUGCAUAUAAGCAAUUGAUGGUCUGCCCCAGGCCCUGUUCUGACUGAUGAUAUUGAGCUUCUCCAUCAUCCCUUCCCACAGAUGUAAUUGAUUUGAUUCCAAUAUAUUCCAUCCAGCAAGGUCGACAUCCAUUGUUACUGUUUAUGUUGUUGAAAAAGGCAUUUCCAAUGAGUAAGUUAUUGGUCUUGCAAAAUUCUAUCAUGCAAUCUCCUUCAUUGUUUCUAACACCAAGGCUGUAUUUUCCAACUAUUGAUCCUUCUUCUUUGUUUCCAACUUUCACAUUCCAAUUGCCAGUAAUAUCAGUGCAUCCCGACUGAAUGUUAGAUCAAUUUCAGACUGCAGUCUUGUAGGCAUAUGGAUAUUAUCAUAUCACUGACAACAUUGUAUUUCAGGAUAUAUUUUGAAAUGUCCUUUUUGACAAUGUGAUUCCAUUCCUCUUCAAUUUGUCUUUCCUGGCAUAUUAGACCAUAUGAUUGUUCAAUUCAGAAGGGCCAGCAUCAGUCCAUUUCAGCUCAAUAAUGCCUAGGAUAUCGAUUUUCAAGGAUUCCAUUUCAUUUUUGACAGUUUACAAUUUUUCUUGAUUCAUGCUUCAUACAUUCCCAAUUCCAAUUAAUAAUGAAUGUUUGCAGCUGUUUCUUCUCAUUUUGAGUCGUGGUACUUUGGCAAAUGAACGUCCUGAAAGCUUAACUCCAUCCACGUCAUUAAGAUCAACUCCACUCUGAGGAGGCAGCUCUUCCCCAAUUGUUGUUUGAGUGCCUUCCAGCCUGGAGAGGCUCAUCAUCCGGCACUAUAUCAGACAAUGUUUCGCUGCUAUCCGUAAGGUUUUCACUGGCCAAUUUUUUCAGAAGUAGAUCACCAGGCCUUUCUUCCCAGUCUCUCUUAGUCUGUAAGUUCCACUUAAACCUGUCUGCCAUAGGUAACCCUGCUAGUAUUUGAAAUUCCAGUGGCACUGCUUCCAGCAUCACAGCAACAUGCAAGCCACCAUGGUAGGACAAACUGACAGAUGAGUGUUGGUUAGACAGCUGAAAGGGUGCUGAAUUAAGCCACUUAGCAGAGAGGUCUGAGUCAUCUAGCAGCAGCUGUCUGUGCCUCACUGGAGGUGUUUUGAUCUUUGUCAUCUCAGUGCAUUUGUUAAGUACUAUCUGUAGCACAGUGCUCCAGGUUGUGCUAAGUGAGUUACCCAGAUAAGGGUCUCUUCCCUUGAGAACAGCACUGAGGCAAAGGGACCUAGAGGUUGUUGACACGGCAGCAGAACAAUCCAGAUAGGCAGUAGAAGAUAGGGAACGCCCGUAUAUUGAAUGCAGAGAAUCACAUCUUGCAGCCAAAAAGGAGCUUGGAGAGAGCCAGUCUACUUCCCUAGCUUAGAUCAGUGAAGUCGUUAGCUCAGGUCACAUGGCAAGUAGGGAGCAGGUUGUCUCACUUAACAAGACAGAGUUCUUCCCACCUCACCCUACUGGAGCAGAAUUGUUUCACCCAAGGACUGAAAUGUGACAAUGUCUGCCAUAUUUAAUCAGAAAAGGCUUUAGGAGAGAGUUGGCAUUUCAAGUACAUCUUGAGAUGAGAUCUUUAGAGAUCAGGAUAGGAUAUAGGGGAUGGUGGGCAGAGUGUGUUUGAGAAGAACUGAGCCCAAAAAGGUUAUGAAAUAUCUUGAGGCAACCUCGUAAGAAGCCUUGAAGCAGUGGAUGAGGUUCUUGGUCAUGUUUUGUAUCACAGAGGGGAGUCAUGAUAGGACCCUGAAAUGGUGACCAUUCAUGACUGUGACAGGCAUGACCGAGUGGUUGGAUGGUGGAAAUCAGCCCAGAGGGUUAAGAAAAACCAUUGCCACCAUUUCUGGACAGCUAUUAUGUGCCAAGCUUUAAAGAUUAGCAUUUUAUGUCAGAUGUCUGUCACCCUCCGAGCAGCCCUGCUGGACAGGUGUUGUUGCCUAUCUGCAGAUAAGGAAACAGACUCAGAGAGAUUGAGUAACUUGCUGAAAAACAUAGAAGUAUUGAGGGAGCCAGUAUUUAAGCCCACACUGUCUCCUUCCAAAUCUUUCUGCUACUCCACAAGGCCUCUAAAGAACAUUGGGAGGAAAGUUAUGGAUAGCCAGCCAGAGAGUAGCUAGAAAUGUCCAUGUUUAUCCCAAACUGGGAUUCUAUAUUUUAUGAGGGGGGAGGGGACGGGACACAAGCUUGUGCAAUGGUUUGAGUUAUGCUCAAGAGAAAAAAAAAAAACAAGACAAGUGAAAAAUGACUAUAGAGAUUACUUUUUGGCAGGUCAUCGACAUAGUAACAUGACCCACCAAGACAGAGAAGAGUGAGGAUCACAGAAGAAAGAUAAGCAUCUGUCAUAUAUAAUAAGAGUUACUGAUGAUUUAGUGAGUUUAAGAUUGAGAACUAGUAUUGCGUGACCAAAGGGGAAAGUUCAGAGUGGAUAGGUGGGUUGAUGUGUCAUCUAAAUAGUAAUAUAGUGACAUUGGGUGAGGUAAAUCCUCAAAAACAUCAUUUAAGGACCUAUUUGCAUAUAGCACUGUACUAAAGCACUGAACUAAGAAAUUGUAGCAAAGAAGUGAAUAGACAGGACUAGGAAAAUUACAAACUAAGAGAGGCCAUGAUGUUAUCAUACCACAUCUUGUAAUGGUAGAGAACAGGGAAAAUUAAGCCUGUUAAGACCCCACUGCCAGUAGGAAAUGGAUCAUUGAAAUGGUUUGAAGAAGAUAGGAAAGGCAGAGCAUUGAAACAGAAGACAAAGCCAACAUGCCCAGUAUCCUGGAUUUCAGGAAAGAGGGAAAGGCAAGGGAAAGAAUACCUGUUGAGCAUUUUAUUAUGUGCUGACAGCAUUAAAUAAUUAAUCACUCCAGUAAAUUAAAUACUCAAAUUUUCACACAGUGCUUACAGCAGUCCUGCCACGUAAGUGUUACUGCCGCACUUUACAGAUGAGGAAACUAAGGCUCUGAGAAGUGGUGACUUGCCUAAGAUCAGACAGGUAGCUGAGACAGGAUUCACCCAGGUCUGACUUUGAAUCCCUUGUUCCUUCCACACUGCUCCUCGACCUCACCGCGAUUUGGAAGGAAAUUGGUUAUAUACAGAGUCCGAAGCUAUGAAAGGAUGAUGAGGAUCAGAAUGGAUUUGGGGCAGGGAUGAGGAUACUGGUCGCCUUACUGAGUGAAACCACUGGGAAGUAGAAAUGGGAGAAGUUGGCCAUAAGGAAAUUCACGUGUGUGGCCUUUUGCUAUCUGGCACGUGCAAGGCUUAAAUCUUAGUUGCAUCCUACUCUCCCUUUUGAGAACAUGAGUUCCUUGUUUGAAAAUUAUUUGCAAGCCACUUUUCAGUCUGCAUGGGAAUAGGGUUGGGCUUCCAGGUUGAUAUAUCUUCAAAUUACAGUUCCAAGAAAAAUACUGGGUCCACUGCGUAGUUUUUCGCAUUUUUAACUGAUGGUCCCCUUGCCAAACAUAGCCAUUCACACCCAGCGAGUCAUCUGGGAGCUAUGGGAAUCCUUUCCCCAACUAGUACCAUGCUUUUGCCAGCUGUGUUUAGAAAUAUCCCCAAGUCUCAUUUUCUUACCCCUUUCAGUGACCAAGGAGCUCUGGUGGUACAGUGGUUCAGAGCUCAACUGCUAACCAAAAAGGUUGGCAAUUUGAAUACACCAGCCGCUCCUCGGACACCCUGUGGGGCAAUUCUGCUCCAUCCUAUAGAGUCGCUCAGUUGGAAUCAGCAACAGGUUUGGUUUCAGUGACUGAUAAGCCACUUGUUUUUUAGAUUAUAUAUGUAUAUGAUAGCAACUAAUUGGUAGAAGACCUUGCAAAAAUAAUUCUAAAUUGGAAAAACAGAGUUAGUCUACAUGGGGUUUUUGUAAUCUUGAAGUGUGAAAAGAAGAAUGGGCAAAUGUUUUGCUUUAAAAGUGGGUAAGUGCAGGGCACAUCUAAGUCAAUUGGUGUAAUAAAAUCUAUUAAGAAAACACUCUGCAUCCCACUUUGGAGAGUGGCGUCUGGGGUUUUAAACGCAAGCAAAUGGCCAUCUAAGGUGCAUCAAUUGGUCUCAACCCACCUGGAGCAAAAGAGAAUGAAGAACACCAAAGACACAGGGUAAUUAUGAGUCCAAGAGACAGAAAGGGCCACAUAAACCGGAGACUACGUCAGCCUGAGACCAGAAGAACUAGAUGAUGCCUGCCUACAACCGAUGGCUGUCCUGACAGGGAACACAACAAAGAACCCCUGAGGGGGCAGGACAGCGGUGGGAUGCAGACCCCAAAUUCUCGUAAAUGACCAGACUUAAUGGUCUGACUGAGACUGAAUGACCCCAGAGGUCAUGGUUCCCAGACCUUCUGUUAGCCCAAGACAGGAACCAUUCCUAAAGCUAACUCUUCAGAGAGGGAUUGGAUUAGACUAUGGGAUAGACAAUGAUACUGGUGAAGAAUGAGCUUCUUGGAUCAAGGAGACGCAUGAGACUAUGUUGGCAUCUCCUGUGUGAAGGGGAGAUGAGAGGGUAAAGAGGGUCAGAAGCUGGCCGAAUGGACUCAAAAAGAAAUAGAGGAGAGAAGGAGUGUGCUGUCUCAUUAGGGGGAGAGCAAUCAGGAGUAUAUAGCAAGGUGUUUAUAAGUUUUUUGUAUGAGAGUCUGACUUGAUUUGUAAACUUUCACUUAAAGUACAAUAAAAAUGAAAAAAAAAGUGGGUAAGUGGGACAAGAUAGUCUCUUUUAACAAACAGUGCUGGCAUAACUGGAUAUCCAUCUGCAAAAAAAAAAAUAAA